rnacentral:lncRNA from 1 species
GUUGAUCUCUCCCAUAAUAACUUGACAGGAAGUUUCCCCAAUUGGCUGCUUGCAAACAAUACGAGACUAGAAUUUCUAGUCCUGAGGAAUAACUCUUUAAUGGGUCAACUACUUCCCCUGGGACCUAAUACCCGUAUCAAUUCAUUGGAUAUCUCACACAAUCAGUUGGACGGACAACUUCAAGAAAAUGUGGCCCAUAUGAUUCCAAAUAUUAUGUCUCUAAAUUUAUCCAACAAUGGUUUUGAAGGUAUUCUCCCAUCCUCAAUAGCUGAACUAAGAGCCUUAUCGAUGUUGGAUUUGUUUACCAAUAAUUUCUCUAGAGAAGUACCAAAGCAAUUGCUUGCAGCAAAAGAUUUGGAGAUUCUGAAAUUAUCAAAUAAUAAAUUUCAUGGUGAAAUAUUUUCAAGGGACUUUAACUUGACUUGGUUGAAGCAUUUGUAUUUGGGUAAUAAUCAGUUCACGGGAACUCUGUCAAAUGUAAUCUGCAGAAGCUCUUUGUUGAGGGUGUUGGAUGUGAGCAACAACUACAUGUCAGGUGAAAUUCCAAGUUGGAUAGGUAACAUGACAGGAUUGGGAACAUUGGUCAUGGGCAACAAUAAUUUUAAAGGCAAAUUACCACCUGAGAUUUCUCAAUUGUCGGGGAUGAUGUUUCUUGACAUUUCUCAAAAUGCUCUUUCAGGAUCUCUUCCUUCUUUGAAGAGCAUGGAGUAUUUAGAGCAUCUACAUUUGCAAGGGAACAUGUUUACAGGAUUAAUACCCAGAGAUUUUCUCAAUUCCUCAAAUCUAUUGACUUUGGAUAUUAGAGAAAACAGGUUAUUUGGAAGUAUUCCAGAUUCAAUCUCUGCACUUUUGAGGCUAAGGAUUCUUUUGCUGGGAGGAAACCUUUUAAGUGGUUUUAUUCCAAAUCAUCUUUGUCAUUUGACUGAAAUAAGCUUGAUGGAUCUUUCAAACAACUCUUUUUCAGGGCCAAUUCCCAAAUUCUUUGGCCAUAUCCGAUUUGGGGAGAUGAAAAAGGAGGACAACGUGUUUGGACAGUUCAUUGAAAGUGAGUAUGGAUGGAAUUCUCUUGCAUAUGCAGGUUACUUGGUGAAAGAUCUAGGCUCCCCAAUUUUAGUAUAUAAUGAAAAAGAUGAAGUUGACUUUGUCACCAAGAACAGGCGUGACUCCUACAAAGGUGGCAUCCUUGAAUUCAUGUCUGGAUUGGAUUUAUCAUGUAACAACUUGACAGGCGAAAUACCUCACGAACUUGGAAUGCUAAGUUGGAUUCGUGCAUUGAACUUGUCUCACAAUCAAUUGAAUGGCUCCAUUCCAAAGAGUUUCUCCAAUCUUUCUCAAAUAGAGAGCUUAGACCUUUCUUAUAAUAAACUGGGUGGAGAAAUUCCUCUAGAGCUAGUUGAACUCAAUUUUUUAGAGGUGUUUAGUGUGGCUUACAACAACAUCUCCGGUAGAGUUCCAGAUACCAAAGCACAAUUUGCAACAUUUGAUGAAAGCAACUAUGAAGGUAAUCCUUUCCUUUGUGGGGAACUAUUAAAGAGGAAAUGCAACACAAGUAUUGAGUCACCAUGCGCACCAUCACAAUCUUUUGAAAGUGAGGCAAAAUGGUAUGAUAUCAAUCAUGUUGUUUUCUUUGCAAGUUUUACUACUUCAUAUAUCAUUAUCUUGUUAGGAUUUGCUACCAUCCUUUACAUCAAUCCUUAUUGGCGUCAUAGAUGGUUCAAUUUUAUCGAGGAAUGUAUAUAUUCCUGCUAUUAUUUUGUUUCCGAUAGUCUUUCCAAGUUAUCAACAUAUUUGUAUAAUUAGAUACUUUUAGUUGGAUGAUGUUUGCAUAAUUAACUACUAUUUGUUUCCAGAGGAUAGAAAGAAAUGGGAUGUAUAAUUGCUAUGAGUUGAAACUUACGUACUUUGCUCAAAUUUCGGCAUCCUUUGCUUUUAUUUUCAAGUUUCGUUAUUUUUUAUUUAUUGUUUAUUUCAAGAUUUAACCAUAUUAUGUUACUCUUAUAAAAACAAAUUCAAAUUUUUAGGAACUUUUAGCAUUAAAAUAAUUUCAUAAUCAGAUUUUAAAAAAUAAAAAAGAAAGAAAAUAAUAAAUAAUUGGAAAAACAAUUCAAGGGAGUAUUAAAUUAUCAUCUUAGAAUUGUUUGGUAUAGUAUGGGAAUUAAAAAAUAAUCUUUCAAUUUGUUAGACAUGUUUAUUUAUUUAUUAUGGCAAUGAUUGAAAUAUCAAUCACAAAGUAAUGUUUUCUUUUCUUUUGUAGGGCACUAACACUUUUUCUUUGAUAGUAAUAAUUGAUAAAUAUUUUACACAGUUAUUUGUUUUUAAAAAGGGAGGGAUGACAAAUAUAAUACGUGAAAUAUUUCUAAAACUGUGAUGGUAAAUAAGCCAUCUAAUUAGGGUGUAAUAUUAUUUAUUUUAAUUUAUUUGCAUCAUUUUUUGAACUAUUUUAUCAGAUUAAGGGAGAUUAAAACAUCAUGAGUUUGUUAUUUUAAUUUAUAUUUUUAAUAAUAAAGUAUGAAAUAUUAAAAAAAAUAAUCAUGAAUUUCUUUAAUUCCUUAGGAAACCAAUAUAUAAAAAAAUUGAAUAUAUUAUUAUUUUAUGUCCUAAAUUUCUAAAGUUGUUCAUCAUGUAUUAUUUUUAUAUUAAAUUUAUUAUCAUUAAUUAUUUAUUAUAUAUUAUUAUUUAUGUUUAAAAAUGUUCAUAAAUAAUUAAAAUUAAUAAAAAUAUAAAAAAUAAAAUAUUAAAAAAAUUAAAUUAAAAAGAUUUCAUCAAGCUAACAUGUUUUUUUUUAUAAAAAAAAGCAAAAAAAAAUGGGGAUAUUAUAAAGGAGGGGAAAAAGGAGCUUUGACCCAAAAUACUACGUUCUAAAAACAAAAUUCAUAAAGUACCACCCUUUCUAAAAUAAUGUCCAAUCUAAUGUCUCUGUGCUACAUAGAUUGCCACGUCAUAAAACCGUAGUUGGUAACUACGGUUUUAUUUUUUAAAAAUAGUCAAAACCGUAGUCACCAACUACGACUUUAAUUUUAAUUUUAUAUAUAAAUAUAUAUUUAACUUAUAUUUUUUUAAAUAAAAUAUUAUAUUAUUUUGAUUUUAUAUUGAUUAAAAAUAUGUAAGUGGUGUAAUAAAAAUAUUUAACUUUAAUUGAUCUCAUUAUUUAAAGAAUAGUAAUAUAUAAAAUUAAAUAAUUGAUGUCUUUAAUUUGAUAUAAAAAUAUAUUUUGAUAAUUUUAUGAAAAUAUUUGGCACUACAUUCAAUAUAAAUAUAAUUAGUUAUAAAUAUACUAUUUUAUACCCUCAUAAUGAAGAAUAUUAUAUUAUUUUGUAACUUUGUGCAAAAAUUAAAGGCAAUUAUGCACUUGUUCAAAAUAUAAUAUGACUUCAAGUGGGUAAAUAAUUGGAAAAUUACUUAAAUACAACAAAAAUAAAUUUUUUUUUUCCAUUUUUCUCCUUUCGAAAUGGGAUCAAAAUGGAAUGGAAAGACUUAAAAUGUUAAACUUAAAAUGUCAACCUAAAAGAAUUUGUUUUUCCACUUCUUAAAAUAUAGAAUUGUAGAAAGAAAAUACCUUUGUUUUUCCAAUCAAUUCGCUAUUUAGUUUAAUUGUUUUAGUAAAUAGAUGAAAAUGCUUUUGAAAUAUUUUUGUAAAUUCAUUGAUAAUAAGAAAAAUGUUUUUUAUUGGGUACUAAUGGGAGUUUUGGGCAAAAAUAAUUUCUUUAAAACAGAAAAUUCAUAAAAUAAUUUUAUUCAUAAAAUAAUUUUAUUCUCAAAAUAAUUUUUAAUGUGAUGUGUGUCUUAUUCAUGUGGGUAUUCACAUCAUAAAACUGUAAUUGGUAAUCAUGAUUUUUGAUUUUUUUUUUUUAAAUAGUCAAAAUAGUAGUUAGUGAUCAUAACUUUAAAUUUAAACCUAAAGCCAAUUUUUUAAGUUCAAAUUUUAAAUCAUAUGAAUGUUCAAUUUUUUAAAAAUUAUUUUGAUUGGAGGUUUAGAUUGUAAAUUUUUUUUAAUAUAUUAUCUUUUCUAUAUCAAUAUAGUGUUGUUGUAACUAAUUAGUUAUAAAUAUAAUUAGUUUAAAUUUAAACCUAAAACCAAUUAGUUUAAAUGAAUAAAACUAAUUAGGAAUAGGGGAAAAGGUAAAGGAAAGUUAAAGCCGUAGUUGGUGACUACGGCUUUGAUUGUUUUUAAAAUAGUCAAAGUCGUAGUCACAAAUUACGGUUUUAAACUUAAAGUUAAAACCAUGGUUGGUGACUACGGGUUUUGACUAUUUUUAAAAAAUGAAAUCGUAGUUACCAACUAUAUGACGUUUAUGGAUUUUUUUUUUUAAACGAAGUAUUUUGGGUCAUCGGGAAAAAGAUAAAGGAAAAAUCAUGUGGUAUGAUAAUUGCCACGUGUCAAAGUUGUUUUCUUUAAAAAAUAAUAAUAGUAAUGAUGAGCUCAUUUGUCUUAUCAAAGUAAAUAAAAAAACAAAAUGACAAAAAAAGGUGGCAGUUGGCCGAAGGUGAGAGAGGAGGGUUUGAGGGUAAGUUAGGAAUAUUAAUUAUUUUCACUAAGUAGAUAUUUUGAAGGUUAUUUUUUCCGAAACACAUAUUCUUUGAAAAUAAAAAAUCAAAGUUUUAAAAAAAUAUAAUUUUUUUUAAAUGACACAUGAUUACAUCAUUCCCCCUAGAUUAUUUGUUCAUUUAAACUUUUGUUUAAAUAAAAUUAGUUUUAAUUAUUUUCUUUUUGGAAUUAUAUUUAACAUUUAUUAAAAAAAAUAAAAAAACAUAGAUAUAAUAUUGUUAAUGAGUUUUCUUUUUAAUAUUUUGUAAAAUAAUUAAAUUUAAAAAUAUUUAAAUUUAAUUAUGGGCUGCCCAUUUCAAAAUAAUAAGAAUCUCAUAAUCUAAUUUUUCCAAAUUCCAGGUAAAUAUGCUAAUCUAAAAAGAAAAUAAUAAGAAUCUCAUAACCUAAUUUUUAUGUGCUGAUUGGGUUUUUUUCCUUUAAUUUAAAAAAAAAAAAAAGGAAAAAAACAAAAGUGUGCGAUCCUCUUUCUCGAGUCUUCACAUUUUGAGACACUGAACCCAAAUCAAAAUUAAUUUUCACCUCCAAUCCAAACCCUAACUGCUGCCCCCGUUUUCGUUUUCUUCUUCUCUUUCCGAAAACCCACCGGAAUCGGAAGAUUCAUAAUUCUUCAGAAUUAAUUUUCACCUCGAAGCCAAACCCCAACUGCCUCAUCUUCCUCUCAUUCAUAUCCCGAAAGUAGCUUCAACAGUCAGGCCUGUAGCCAUGAAAGCCGUAGUGAUCACUACUUCCGGUGAUCCCCAAGUUCUCCAAGUGCAAGAAGUCGAAAACCCUGAAAUUGGAGAUGAUGAAGUUCUAAUUAGAGUGGACGCCGCUGCCAUUUACCGAGCAGAUAAGCUUCAGAGGAAGGGCUUGCACCCUUCCUCAAAGGCGGCAGUCCCUACCCGGGUCUCGAAUGUUCUGAAAUCAUCGAAGCUGUUGGAAAAGCCGUCGUUCGAUGGAAGGUUGGCGAUCAGGUAUUUCAAUUGCCUAAUAUUUUGAUUUCGUUUCUGUUCCUGUAUUUUUCUCGGCUAUCAAACACUAGGAACGUGUAAAUAAGGAGGUUAGUUGAUUGCGAAAACGGGAAUUUUUUGUUUGUGUUUGUGUUAAGGAGUCUUUGUUGAGAAUUUUAUGAUUAGUUUGUGAUUUUAUGAUUAAUUUUGUGUAUCAAUAUAGGUUAAUUAUUGAGCUUAUUGGUUUUUCAAAUUUAUGGUUGUAAGAAAAUUGGUCAGUGUAAGGUUAUGGGUUCAUGGGUUCAUUACCAAUUUGCUUACUGAAAAUUUUCUGAUGCCUGAUAUAUUUACCAGCACAAAUUUACACUGUUGGUGUUUAAUGUGUGUGCGUCAAUAUUGGAUUAGGGAGGCAGAAGAGCCAUGGUUUUAAUUAAAACAUUACAUCAUCAUAUUCUUAUUUAGAUACAUCGUGUCUCACAAUUUCAUUGCAUCCAAGGCCAUGUUAUUUUUUAUUGCAUGGUUUGUCAUGAUAAUUUCUCAACCCUUCUCUGGAAAAUUAUGUUGGAUGGCUGAUAUUAAUUACCCCAAAAGAAGAAAUUUUAUGUUGAAGUAAGAUGAGUACCACAAAGAGUUACUUUUGGUUGUUCCUAUCAUCAAAUGGGCGAUUGAUGCACAAUCCAAAUGGUAAACUUUUUUUCCCCCUUUAUCCAGAUGGAAUUUUUAUGCAUGGAUGAAUUGUGAAAUGAGGACUGAUAAUAUUUCAGGUUCAUGGGGGUUCAAUUGGAAUUGGUACGUUUGCUAUUCAAAUAGCGAAAUACCGAGGAGCAAGGGUAUUUGUUACAGCAGGUUUGCCAUCACUAUUCUACCUCAUCUCAUGGCACCAAUUCCUUGUCUUCACAUGUUUUCGACCAUUUUUUACAACUGAAAACGAGGAAAAAUUAGCUGUUUGUAAGGAUCUUUGAGCAGAUGUGUGCAUCAAUUACAAGACUGAAGACUUUGUUGCUUGGGUGGAGGAAACAGGAGGGAAAGGUAUAUUCUAUUGUAUCCUAACAAUAAUUUCAGUUGAAGAUGGAAUUGCUUUUAAUUUUUUAGUGCACCUAAUCCACUAGUCUGGUAUGUUUGAAAAGAUAAAUAGUCAUCUUCCACUUGAUUCCGAUUGUGAAGAUCUAACUCCAAAAAUGUUGAAUGACAGGUGUUGAUGUUAUACUGGAUAAUAUUGGACGGGCCUACUUUGAGGGAGACAUCGAUAGUUUAAAUGUUGAUGGAACGCUUUUUAUUAUUGGUUUUCAGGGUGGAACAGUUGCAGAAGUAAAUCUUUCAGGUUUACUUGCAAGGUGCCUUACAGUGCAAGGUACCACUUUCUCUAUAGAAGAUUUUUCUGUAGUUUUGGAGUUGAAUCAAUUUGAUUAAUCUCAUCCAAGUUCAGAACUAAGGUGGAUUCUGGCAAGCCAAGGAAAAACCAAAUUACCAUAAAUUCUUUUUUUUCUGGAUUGUUUUACUUCUUGGAAAUCCUGUUUCUCGAUCUGGUCAGGUAUAUGGAAAUUCCAAGGAAAAUAUGUUUUACAUUUUCCAUAAUUGGAAACACUCAGGAAUUUAAUAUUUUCCUCUGAAAUAGCAAUGGUUUUCUAAUUACAACAUUUGUUUUUCUUGUAUCAUCCCAAAAUAUUUUUUAGGUGUUUGUUCUCUCUUGACACAGCUUUUAAUCGGGUCUGUCUUGCUUUUCGAUAGAUUUCUUGACAAGUUGCUUCUAUAUCAUACUUUCUUUAUUGGUUUUGGAUCAUGCACCUUGCUUUGUCAGCCCUGUUAUCACUACCCAAACUAGUAAAUUUAUGCACAAAACUCCAUGUGUCAGUAACUGUGGUUAUUAGGUUGUAUUAAAUAAUUUGUAAAUACGGUGGAUGAGUUUGUACUAAAUGGCAAUUGUUUAAACAGAAGUCUGGAAAACAAAGCUGUAAUUGUGAGUGAGGCGGAGAAGAAUGUUUGGCCUGCAAUCACAGGCGUACAAGUAUUUUCCAUUGACGGAAGCAGCAGAGGCUCACCAGCUCAUGGAAAGCAGCAAGCAUGUUGGGAAGAUACCGUGCAUUCAAUUAUGUUAUGGUUAUGAAUGAUCUUAUGCCUCAGAGGGAUGACAUGAUUUUAAAACUCUUAAUGAGCAUCUACUAUCUGAUACAAUGUGUGAUGCCCAGGCCUAGAUGGUCAAUGCUUAAUUUCUUAUGUAGGCCUGUCAUUUGAGAAUAAAAACCAGCCUUCCAGUCCAAACAUUUAGACUACUGGAAUCUAAAGCUUCAAGAUGGUUGAAACUGAAUUUUCAUGUGCAAACAGAUCAUAACUCUCCAACCUCCACAAAUGAGCUUACCUUCCUUAUCUGAAGUUUGAACAAAAAUGUAUGAAACGGUUAGGUAGAACUGUCUAAGAAACCAGAGCUUGGAUGUGAGAGAAACCAGCGCCCCUAAAGGUCAGGACAAGAUUACCAUUCCACCAAAGUUGAGCCUUGCAUGCAGUCACCUAGUAUUUUCUUUUAUUGGAGUCUUCCCCUCUACCCUGGCACUGGGAUUGAAGGCGAAUGAAAAACCUGCAUGGAUUGAAGGUGUGCUGCUUGAGUUGAUUGUAGUUUGAGCAUGAAAAUUUGAAGAUCCAGAACAGCAAAUGAGGAAUGCCUAUCAAUUUGAAACCAGCAUGGGUGGAUGAAUGGAGAGGUUCUUCACUGAAUUUGUCCAUGAAGUGGUUUCCAUUAAAUUGCUUGAUGUAAAAAACGAAAAAAGCAUAUAUUGCUUAUUUGAAGUUAGAAUAUAACUUAAGUUGCCAGAAUGGUUUAUGCUUAUAGUGCUGAUUUUAAAGUACGAAACAAAUUGGAACUAACACAAAAAGUAGUUAUAUACCACGAAGAAAUGAAUAAAUUUCAUCUUAUAUCUCAUAGCUUUUGAAGUGAGCGUAUUUUGAUUUGGCAAAAGUAAGGGUGAGUUCAGGAAUGAAGCUUCAUCAUUUCAAAUAUGAAUUUAUAAUCUCAAAUCAGGAAGCAAAAUGGAGUGAAUGUCAUUGACUUGAUGCAUACUGCUUAAAUGGUGAUUUAUUUAAAAAUUUUAACCACGAUUAAUUUUUUCUUUUAAAUCAGUAAUAUAACCCUACAAAAGUAAUGAAGAUUAAAAUGUUAGGCAAUUUAUUUUUUAAAAAAAAAUUGCAAAAUGUCUUUUUUUUUUUUAAUAAAUUGCAAAAAAAAAAAAAUUAUUGCAAACAAUUUUUUCUUUUUUCUUUUUAAUCAAACUGCAAAAAUCUUUUUUUUUUUCUCCAACAAAGUGAUUUUUUUUUUAAUAAAAAUAACUAAAAUCUAGAAUGCACUUUUUUUAUUUAUCAAAUCUUAAAAAUUAUUGUUUUCAAUAAAUAACUUAUUUAUAAAAAGAAAACUAUAAAAUAUAUGCACUUGAAAAAUAUUUAAUUUUUAUUUGAUUUAGUAUCAAUUAAUAUUUGUAAUAUUUUUUAAUAUUAUAGAAGUUAACAUUCUCAAUAAAGAUAUUCAAGGCCUUGAGUUCCCCUUGGGCCUUGGCCAGGGCCUUCUCUUUGUAUCAUUAUUUUGAAGAAGCAUAUUGGUGUGACGUAAAAAAAAACUAUACUAAAUAGAAAAUAAAUAAAAGCAUCAACAAAAAUAAAGGCCAAGAUCCAUGAAAAGUAAUCUUUAAAUUUGUUGCAUAUAUAAUUUCAACAAUGCAUAAAUAAUUACAACAUACACAAUACAAUAAUAUUACACAACUAUAUUUUCAAAUAUAACAUAAGAUCAUUAAAGUGAUAAAUUGUAGUCGUAUAAAAUAUUUGUACAAGUAAAGAAGAAAUUAUGAGAUUAAAAGUCUGUUUGGCAGUGAUUCUAAUAAAAACGUUUUUCUUUAAAGUGUUUCCUUUUGUAGUGUUUCCUUGGAAAAUACUUUUUUGCGAAUUAGAAAAAAUGAUUUUCAAGUGUUUUUUUAUAAUAUAUUGUAUAAGUAUAAAAACACUUUUGAUAUUAAUAAAUUACCAAAAAGGACAUAUAUAUUUAUAUUGUUAAAAAAACUAAAAAUAAUCUUUUUUUAUGAUUUAAAUAAAUUUUUUACAAGAAGAAUUAGAUUAAUAAAUAAAUAUCAAUCAUGAUAUAACAAAUUAUUUGAUUAUAUAUUAGUUUAAAAUUAAUAAUUUUUUUUAUCACUAUAAUAAAAUUUUAAAAAAUAUUUAUAAAAAACAUCUGAAUAAAUAAAUAAAUAAAAGAACAUUGAAUAAAAGAUAAUUUUCAAGGUAAAACAAUAUAUGAUUACCUAUUAAUUUCUCAAAAAAAACAAAAAAACUUUCUAAUUAAAAGUAAAUAAGAAGACAAAUGUUUUCAUAACAAAAAAGGGGGAAAAAAAAUUAUAUUAUUACAUAUUAGAGUCAUAGUUAAACAUCAAUGAGAUAUAAGAAGAUUUGCAAUUCGAUCACGUUCUUCUUCCAUCUCUCUUGCAUGAUGUGAACCAUCUUCCUCAACAAGUGAAUCCACUCUACUCUCUUCUUCAUUAAGUAGAAACAACCCUUGAUCAUCAUCAUAAGGUUUAAAUUCCAUAUCCAUUCUAGCAUUAAUCCUUAUGAAGUUGUGAAGAGCCAUUGAAGCAAUAACAAUCUUUACUUGUUUUUCAAGAGGAAAACUAUGCAUUUGUCAUAGCAUUCUCCAUCUAUUCUUCAAAACGGCAAAUGUUCUCUCAAUUGUGCACCUCAAGGAAGAAUGCCUAUGAUUAAAUAUUUCCUUUUUACCUCUAGGUGAACUACCUCGUCGAAAAUCUGGAAGAUGGUAACGCUCGCCUUUAUAAGGGCCUAAAUAUCCACUCAUUUGAGGAUAACCAGCAUCAACCAAAUAAUAUUUACCUACAAAACAAAAACAAAAAAUAUAUAUUAGAUAAUAAGAAUUUGAUCACAAAAACAAGUUUGAUAUUGUCAUUCACAAACCUCUAGGUGGAUGAGGAAAACCCAAUUCUGGCCUUCUUAAUGCCUCUAAAAAGACCCGUGCAUCAUGAGCAGCACCUUCCCAUCCGACCCAUGCAAAUGUGAAACACAUAUUGAAAUCACAUACUGUCAUAACAUUUUGGGUAGUCAUGCCUUUUCUACCAAUAUAUGGUAUUUGUCUAUCUUUAGGAACCACAACAGGUAUAUGAGUUCCAUCAAUUACCCCAAUACAAUCCUUAAAAUAUGGCCAAUACCGAUCAUCAUUUUUUAUUUUAUUAGGGACUUCCUUAAACUAUGGAUCACUUGGUUUUAUAAUAUCCAUGGCCAUAAGACAAACAACAUCUAAUACAAUCUCAAACCAUUUAGAUACAGAUUCACUAGAGUGUUGAAAUCUUUCUUGAAUCAUCCUAUUGCUUAGUCCAUGACCUAUUGUAGUGAGAAACAUUGCUAAGGCCUCUGUUAAGGGCACAUCAAAACCUUCUUUUAGGCCAUACCUUUUAGUAAGUGUUUCUAAUAAAUUCAUAAACACAUGUUUUUCCAUUCUAAAUUGCUCAAAACACCUAAUUUCAUGGCCAUUUAAGACAUCCAUUACAAACUUGUAUCCUAUGUGGGAAGAAGUUCUGCAAGGUUUUUUUUUUCUUUGAAACAAGUAAGUUUUACAGCUAUAGCACAACCCGCAAGCACCAACUGAUAAAAAUCAUGUUCAUCAUCGUUUUCAUCAUCAAAAUUUUGAUCAUUAUUAUUAGAAGACAUCUACACAAAUAAAAAAAGAAAUACAUUAAUAAAUCUGUUUUUCUCCUUUUCUACCUCUUUGAAAAAGAAGAAUAUUAUCAACUGAAUAUAAUGUUCACAAUAAAUCCUUCAAGUAUCUAGAAGGAACAUUUCCUUUAAUUGUUUGGGCAAGAAAAAGCAUAGCUCAACAAAGCUUCAAGUAGCAAGUUAUUUAUAUAUAUGAACCAGGCUAGAAGUAACCAUGAUAAGAACAUAUAAUACUGCAAUACUCAAGGUUCUUGUGUAAUUCUCCUAAAUUGUAUUUCCUUUUUAAUUUUCCAAAGUACUCAAUUUAAUCUCUCAUCACAAGCAUGGGACUCAACACUUCAAAACAUUUCUCCAAUAAUUUUUCAAGGAAUCAACUUGGUUCCAUGGCCUAUAACUGAUACUAUCAGAUGAUCAACAACAAAUAAUAUCUUAAAUGUAGUUUACCACACAUCUAACCAUACAUUUAUAUUAGAAAUGCAAAUACAAAUACAAGGCCACAGAUUUAAAGUUAUCAGUUUGCUCCUUUCCUGAUAAGCAAUAGGAAGCCCAUACAAAUAGGCUCAUUUCCCAUCCCACUGCUCUAUUCUUAUUUUGUAGAUAAUUACAUUACAUAUGAUAAAUAUAGAAGAUAGAUUAAUUCAAUUAGCAUAAAUUGGAACAAGAAGCUAUGCAUAAAUAGCAUAUAUAAUACUCACAUUACUUUGCUCUUACAACGGUUUUUUCUUUGAACCUAUAUUCUUUUGAUUUGUUGAAGUAUGUUGAGUCAUUUUUUUAACAUGUGCACCAAGAAUUUAACUUGUAUAGGCCUGCACAUAAUGUGAAAGCAAAUAUUAUUAUAAAAUGGUUCAUACAUCCGACGAGUGUCUAAUUAAGUGUUGUUUCCAACAAAGGCAUUCCUCCACUAUAGAAUUGUUCGUGCUGCAUGGAUAUUUUCUCUUUCAUUCAUUUUGUUCUAUUGGAUUUCCAGUAAGAUUUAUGUGUUCUAGGAUUUUCAGAACUACUCUUACACACACCAACUUCGAAGGUAAGUGGUAUUUUUCAUGAGGAAGAAAUUCGAAGUGAUCAUCCCAAUAUCAAAUAAUAUAGCAAAAUUAAGGGUUUAUAGGAAUUAAAGCUGGGCUUCCAUACAAUCAUGUUAAAGGUAAAUAGCAGGGCGGCAAUUUGUUCAUACAUAAAGCUGUUUUUCCCCUUUUCUAUGUCUGUGUCUUAAAUGGGUCUCGACCUAAAUGUGAAAUUGAAAUGACCCUAAUGAAAGAAGAAGUAUGUGAUGAUUGAAUUAAGAAAGAAUGCGAAGGUUUAGCCACUCGAAAAAUAUACUUGUGUCUCAUGAAUUUGUUUGUUGGGUGUGAUUCAAAGAGACAACCUAAGGUCCAAUUUUUGAUCAUCUCAUUUAAAAACCAAUUAUUUUCCAGUAUGAGUGUCUUUAAUGACAAUCUACAUCAUACCCUUGGGAGUCAUUGUUUGGGCGACCCAUUACCAGACAUAAGCGGGAUCAUCCCACCUCAAAAAAAGGGUCUGAAAUGUUAUAAAUGAGAGAUAUCGAGCACCAUAUUACAGCUCCUGGAAAUGCAAUAAUGCAUGUAUGAAGGUGCCCCUUACCAAAAAGAGUGAAAAAACAAAACCGAAUCAGCCCAAAAAUUUAAUUGGGGUUCACAGUAUUUCAUAGAAUUGAGCAAACCUUGACAAAUACCUAUAAGGCAAAGUGGAAAAUGGGGUCUUCAAACCUACCCACAAAUAGUUAUAUGAUGAGCCCCAAUCCGAAACAAGUGGUCCAAUAUAUAAGAGGGGGACCUAAUGCAGAGGACCAUAGUGCCAUAACUACUAUAUACUUGUACCAAAUGGUUAAAAAAAAAAAAUAAUAAUGUGUAUGCAGUAUGCAAUAUGCUUAUAUGCAUUCAAACGAAUCAAACCAUAAAAACUCACUGCUGGAAGGUUUGGGAGGAUACAAAGCCCUGAAAGCAACGAAAUCGAUCAGCGGUCCACAAGCUGGAUCCUCCUCUACUCUUGGGUUAUGUAUGAUGAUCUCGAUCACAUCAAAGACAUGUGGUUUACAGAUAUGUGAACCAAAAAUCCUAAACAGAGCGAUUGCAUAUGUGAACUAGAAUAGAGGAUGAGAGUUUUAGAAAGAGAAGUACCAGGAAAUGAGACUCGACUACUCUAUUGAUUUACCAUUUCAUUUUCUCAUACUUUCCUCCUAACCAAACAAUCCUAAAACCCAAAACCCUAACUAGCAUUGCAAGACAAUCAGACAUUAAAAACAAGGAAAAGAAAAACAAGCAAAGAACAGAGGGUUACCUUCGAUUAGAUAAAUGAUGUCGAAUGAAAGUGGAGCGCUUUUCAGAUGGAGAGCGAUGGAGGAGGAGAACCAAGGAGAAAGGUAAGUGAAAGGGAAAUGGAGGUAUCGGGAAUCACUUGGGGGUAUUUUUGGAAUAUUUCAAAAUUUUUGAAGUGUUUUUUUAAAAAACACCUGUCAAGUGAUUCUCUAAAAAUCAUUUUAAGUGUUUUUCCAGAUUUUCAGAAGUGUUUUUAAAAAUAUGCCAAACACCUUAUUUUCAUCCCAAAAACACUUAAAAGUAUUUUUAAGGGUAUAAACACUUUUAAAAAUCAUUGUCAAACGGGCUCUAAAAUGCUUGUCGGAUUCUAGGUAAAGAAGAAAUGAGAUAUAGAGAUUAUCCCAUCAGACAUAUAGAAUUUCAUAUACAUAAUUUCAUAUAUUUAUAGGUUUGAAGAGACAUAUUGAGAUUUUGUAGACAUGUUUGGAGUUUUAAACCUUGAAAUAUUACUCUUUUAUUAAAUUAACAUUUAUAAAAUUUGGAAGAACAUAAUUGGAUAAUAUCUUAAGUUAUUUUUAAUGAAAAUUGAUAAUUACCUUUUAAUUAUUAAAUUCAUUAUUUCUAUUUGUUUUUGUAAUAUUUCUUAAUUACUAAAAUAUUUUAUUUCCUUUAUUUAGUUUGAAAGCUAUUAUAUAUCUUUUGUUUGUAUAGAGCUCAUGUGACAUAUCUCACAAUUUAAUUUAAAGAUUCAUUACCAAAUGACAAAUUUUAUUUUGUCACGCUUCUCUUCUUUUCUCCCAGACCGGAUUGGUCGACCAAUCAUUGAUCGGAGCCUUUCAGAAUGGCUAUCAAACCGCCACUGAACCGAGAAAUCAACGGUUUAACCACUAACUCGGUGAACUGGUCUACCGGCUCAAGUUUGGAUCCCUUUAAUUUGUGGCAGAAUGCGCCCAACCAAAUUGGGCCUCAAGCCCAACAACCUAAAGUCCAUGCGGGCUAUCUACUGGAUCUCACCCAUUGUAACUUGCUCUGGGUGAAUGGCCAUUACAAACUUCCCUCAUCUGAUUUUGAUGUGGGAAUGGGAGAGAUGAGGAUUUGACAUUUGGACCUAAGGCUCAAAGGGUUUUAACUCUACUCAACUACUUUAUGCCUUCUAUUUAAUAUUGCAAACCAAAAUAAUAAUAGACAUGAUUCUUUUCAAAAUUUUUAUAAUAAUAUAAGUAAAAAUGAUGUAAUAUUUUUUUAAAUGAUAAAAUAAUAGGUUAAAUAAAUUUUAAUAUAUAUGUAAAAUUAAUUAAAUUUUAAUAAAUAUCUUCACAUUUAAACAUUACAUAUCUUUUAUUUAAUAAAAUGUUAAAAUAUUAAUAUAUCUAUAUAUUUAAUUUGAUAUUAUUAUAAAUUAAAAUUAAAAUAUUAAUAAUUUUUAUUUUCUUUAUAUAUUUGAAUUUGUAUAAUUAUUUUUUAUUUUAAUAACAUAUAAAUUGUAUAUUUAUGAUAUUACUAGUUCAACUGUAAUUCAACCAUCAGUUCGAUCAUUGAACUGUGAAUUAGUAAAUUUUUUUUAUUCAUUGAUAGGUUCGAUCCUAAAAUCAUAUAUAGAUAUCUAUGGAGUGUAUACAUAUAUUAUGUAUCAUAAAUUUAUAUAGGGAUCACCUAUGUAUGUAGGGUAUACAUAUAUUAUGUAUCGUAAAUUUAUUUUUUAUAUUAUUUAUUUUUUAAAAUAAAAAAAUUAAAUUCGUAGUUAAAAAUAAAAGAAGUAAAAAACAUUUAUAAAAUAUAUUGUAAAAUAAUGCCAAUAUAUGUAUUAUUUUAUAUAAGGUGCAACUUGGAAGGGUUGGUCCAACUCAACCUAAACCUAACUUGAUGUUUGAGUGGGUUUAGGCAAACAUUUUCAAUACUUAGGUUGAGCUUAAGUUAAGUUUUCUCAAUCCGAGUUCAAUUUGGGUUGGGUUUGGACCAAGGUUUGAAUAACUUGAGUCUAACUCAAACCUGAUUUAAUGUUUUUAUAGUGUUUAUAUCCUUUAAAAUAAUAUUCCUUUUCAUUUUAGAUUUUAAAGAAAAAAUAUCAAUUAUAAUUAUAUCAUAUACUUUUUUUUUGUUUUUGUUUUUAGAGAGAUAUAUAAGUUUACUUUUAUUUUUUUAUUGUCAUUUUGAAAUUUUGUAUUACUUACUAUUUAAAUUUUGGUAUAAAUAUAUAGAAUUUAAAACAGAAAAUAAUAUGGAUAGAUUUUGAAUCAUGCAACCUAAUCAACCCAAUUAACCUGAGUUUAACCUGUUUAACCCAAUCAAACUGAGUUUAAUUUGAUCAACCCGACUUUAACUUGACUAACCCAAGUUCAACCCAAGCUUCAAAAAAUGACGUCGGGUUGGGUUGAGUACCUUGAGUUAGAGGUCAGGUUGGAUUGAGUUUGGGUUGAUUGUUUUUUAGUUUGGGUUAGGAUCCAGUUAGCCAUUAACUCAACUAACCGACCUAAGUUGCAACCCUAAUUUAAUAUAUAUUAAAUUAUUGUUAUAUAUUGAACAACAUAAUAUAAAAAAAUUAUUUAUAAAUUUUAAAUCUUUUAGUCAUAAAUAUUGCUAAACAAAAGAAAAUUUCCAUUGUUUUAAUAGUGAAUAUUGGAAUGCAAUAUAAUUUUAUUUUAAACAAAUAUUAAAUAUUGAAAAAUAAUAUAUAUUCCAUUUCAUUUUUUUUAUUCAUUUUACAAACUAAAUAUAAACAUAACAUAACAUAUCUUAUUAUGUAUACUACCUUAGAAUAUCAUAUCCAUUAGAUAUAAUAUACAAAGAUAUCACAAUCUUUUAGAAAAAAUAGUAUGGGAUAUAUUGUGGACCCGCAUUUUUUGCAUGUGUUCCCAUUCGAUGGCAAGACUCGUUUUUUAUUUGAAAAACUGAUUUUUAAAAAUUAUUUUUGGAGUUGCCACUUUUUUUUUUUUUUUAAAUGAAAAAAAAAACUGUAAGUGUGACUCCUAUAAAGGAAAAGUAGGUUUGAGAAAAUCAAGUCAGAGUCUAAGGGUCAGGUUAUUUAUUGGAAAUAUACCGUAGUAAGUUGUAGUAGUACCCCUCUAAGUUCUAAAAAUUAGGUUUCUAUUAAUCGGCUAAGGCAAGUGUAGCAAGUGAUUGAUUAAUCGUGGAUACCAAAGUUCAGGAUAUAGAACAAAGCAAAGUAUGCACAAGAAUGAAUAAAUAAGCAAGAUGGAGAUGGGAGCAUACUUGAACGACAAACGAGAGCGCUUACAUGGAAAUAGGGUUAGUGCACAAGUGUAGAGUAAUCACAUAUAAAUCACAAAACAGAUCAAAGUCAAUCAAUAUUCAAUCACAAAUGUUGGGCCUCACCAAAACCCAAUUUAUUUACAUUAAUUAAUUAUAAUGAAAAUAGGAAAUGCAUGCCAGAAGAGAAAUUUGGGUUCAAAAAUUUUAUUGAAAUCAACAUUUUAUUGCCAAGGAAAACCCAAUUUAUUUACACCACCAACUCCAUAUUUCCCAUUUUUCUACCUACUGCCAAUUCACUCCUUUCUCUGAGAAGAUUUUUGAGGUUAUUGUCAUGCUUGAGAUAAUCCAGAAAGUUGAGCGGCAUCACUCUCUGAAAGGUAUUUUAUAGCAUGGGUAAUGUGUGGGAUACAUCUGAUAGGCUGUUAUAUCCAUAAACCACCAUAUUAAACCAUGGUUCAUAUCCCCAACACCACACAAGAAUCUGUACUCAUCCCAAGCAACUUGGAAAUCAUAAAAUCAGGUUUUGAGCGCCUCCCAAGACAUGCACAGCUUCACCCUUUGUGCAUUCCUUUGAUUUGGAAAAUUUCUUCUACAGAAUUCCCCAUUAUCAUGCCCUAAACCAAGACAUAUCAUGAUCGGAUGGGCCCCUUUAUCAAUUUCACAAUAGCCAAUAACAUAUCAUUUACUUCUGUUUUGUCAACAGGAAUUAGCAUUUUGCAUGGGAAGCACCAACGAAGAUGAGGGUUUUCAAAUUGGAUCACCAACAGAGAAACCCAUUGCAACUAUUUGAAUAAUUGAGCACAACAUCGACUUUGGAAAACUUCUCUUAAAGGUGAAAUCAUCAUCUUGGCUAAACGUAGUCACAGUUAGGUUGUGAGCAAUAAUCACAGAGGGCUUUCAGUUUGAUAGCAACGAAAAGGUAAAUGUACUCGAGAGAAGUUCUGACUCUGGGAGAAGCACUCUUGAAUCCAAGUGAAGGUCUGUUCUGGAUCUUUUCCUGGCUCUCUCUGUUAAACGAAGAUAAUCUGCCCAGGAUUUGGAUGCAAGGCCAUGUUUAGGAGACUUAUGUAGAAUAUUUAUCCAUAGCUCCCUGCCAGAAACAUUUGCAUAAAGCGUCUUCCCGGUGUGAACCAUUGUCUUGCCUGGAAGUGUCGAGCAGCAAUAUGGCCUUCUUUUUUAUUAACUAUUUUGUCAAAUUCUAGAGCUCUCAUUCCAAAUCCAUCAGUUUUCUCAAAUGAUUGGCUAGUGGAGAUCCAUGGAUAUAACAUAUGAAUUGUGCACAACAAAAGCAAUCAAACGGUAUGUUGGUUUGGCUACAUUCCACAAUCGCAAAGACUUAUCAUGCGAAAUAGUUACCAAUUGCAUUGAAUUUUGCCUAAAAAGGAUAUUCGUUAUUACAAACUGGUGUUCUUCCGUGGUGCUCUCUCUUUGCAGGCUAUCCAUGUUCCAAAGAACAACUCUCUUGUCAUGUCUGGCACUGAUUAGAGAUUUCCCAUCUGAAGAAAAUCGACAACAGGUAGAUUUGCCAUUCUUGGUCUGUAUACAUCUAACCUUAGCAAGGGUUGAACCCUUUUAUGCUUAGUUGUGCCAUACAGAUCCUUACCACCGCCUGCAGCAUGUAAUCGAAAUGAUUCGAUAAUGUCAUCUAGUGAACCAAUACUUUCAAAUGAGAGACCACUGCCUCUGUAAGUAGGGCUCAUGACUGAGAAUUGCGUAAACCCCUUUGCUUGGGUUGAAACCUGACCGAUACACAAUAUUCAUAGGCCUCUUCCCAUAACUAGCACCUUGUGUUUGCAAUAGAAUUGAACAUGUAUUGAAGUGAGUUUUUUUGCAUUUUCUCGUAAGAAAAUUCUAAACAAUAGAGACUACUUAGUGUGCCCAGCCCUUCGGAGCAUCAAGGUCCAUUUCUAUAGAGGGCCAAUUGUUCCACAGUCGAAACAGAUAACAUGGAAAGUAUGCUACAAUGCUUCAACGGGAUAAUUCUUGGGAAAAUCUCUUCAAAUUGAUGAAUGGUAGUUUUUCAUUCUUAUUUCAUUCGUUCAUGUACAUAGUAUAUAUAGAGGGUAAUCACCAUUUUAAGAAUGAGAAAGAAUGAUACAAGAAAGGAAUGAUAUAAGGAAAGAACAACUAAUAUCCUAAUAUCUCAACAUUCCUAAUAUCUAAACAUUCCUAAUAUCUUAACACUCCCCCUCAAGUUGGUGCAUAGAUGUCACACAUGCCCAACUUGUCUAAAAAUUUUGAGAACACUCGACUUGAGACUGCAGCUUUGGUGAGGAUAUCGACCAAUUGAUCUUCUGAUCGAAUCUUAGGCAAUUCCACAAUCUUAUCAUCCAACUUCUCCUUAAUGAAGAAUCUGUCCACCUCGACAUGCUUUGUACAAUCAUGUUGUACUGUAUUAUGAGCAAUAUCACAUGCGGCUUUAUUGUCACAAAACAAUCGAAUUGGUUGCCUAGAUAGGUAAUCUAAAUCCUGUAAGAGGAGUCUUAGCCAUAAUGCCUCACAAAGUCUUAGAGUCAUACCCCUAAAUUCUGUUUCUGCACUUGAACGAGCGAUGACAUAAUACUUCUUACUUUUCCAUGUCAUAAGAUUACCACCUACAAAGGUAAAGUAACUAGAUGUAGAUCGCCUAUCAUCCACUACACCGGCCCAAUCAACAUCAAUAUAUACUUCUAUACUCUAAUGAUCAACAUUUUUAGUGAACAAAAUUCCCUUUCCAGGAGCAUUCUUCAAAUACCUCAAAAUACGCAUGAUUGCAUUCAUAUGUUGCUCUCUAGGAUUAUGCAUGUAUUGACUUACUACACUCAAUGCAUAAGCAAGAUCUGGUCUUGUUUGAGCUAAGUACAUUAAUUUUCCCACAAGUCUCUGGUAUAUUCCCUUAUGGGUUGAUACUUGAUUAGGCUCAAUACACAAUUUCAAACCUUCUUCUAUUGGUGUAUCAACAGGUUGACAUCCCAACAUUCCAGUCUCCUAUAAAAGAUCUAAGGCAUACUUUCUUUGAGACAGAAAAAUUCCUUCACUUGAUCAAGAAACUUCAAUCCCAAGAAAGUAUUUCAGAGAAUCUAGAUCUUUCAUUUCGAAUUCUCUAGAUAGAUAAUUUUGCAGAGCUUUUCUUUCUUCAGGAUCAUUUCCUGUAACUACCAUGUCAUCCACAUAUACGAUGAGUGUCGUAAUCUUACUAUGUUACUUUUUCAGGAACAAAGUGUGAUCUGAAUUACUUUGAUGAUAGCCAAAAUCUCUCAUUGACUUUGUGAACCUUUCAAACCAUGCUCUCGGGGAUUGCUUCAACCCAUACAAUGAAUUCUUCAAUUUGCACACCUUUUGAUAUUGCUUUUCUAACACCAUGCAUCGUGGUGGAAGAUCCAUAUAUACUUUUUCAGAUAACUCACUAUGCAGAAAGACAUUUUUCACAUUGAACUGUUGUAAUGGCCAAUCCAGGUUUGCAGCUAAAGACAGUAAUACUCGAACUGUGUUGAUCUUAGCUAUAGGUGCAAAUGUCUCUUCCUUCUUCUAUCACUUCUUUAGUUUCUGGGUGGUCAUUACUACUUGGUUCCAAAGUUGUACUACUCAUAUCCAACUCACCUGCUUCCUAGUUCACCUGUUCAGAUUGUCUAGAUUCAUCCUUUUCAUAGAUAUGAUAAUCAUAAUUGAGAGUUUGAAUUUCCUUCUGGUACUCCCCCUGAAGUUUAGACUCAAAUGAAGAAUACAUCGAAUCUUCAUGAAACACCACAUCCAUUGUAAUAAACAUUCGUCGAGUUGGAGGAUGGUAACAUCGAUAUUCCUUUUUGUGCAAUGCAUAUCCAACAAACACACAUUGCAAUGCACGAGAAGUUAACUUGGUGCGUUGGUGUUUGUGUAGAUGCACAAAUGCCAUGCAACCAAAAACACGAGGAGGUAGAUUUGAGACGGUUGAGGCAACUACGAUAUUAAUAAGAGCUUGGAGAGCUGUUUGGAAGCUAAUUGAGUUGAAAGGUACCUGAUUGAUAAAGUAUGUGACAGAUGUUAUUGUUUCCCCCCAAUAAGAUAUCGGUAUUUUUGCUGCUAUCAAGAAAGUACGAACAACCUCUAACAAGUGUCAAUUUUUUCGUUCAGCGACUCCAUUUUGCUGGGGUGUAUUGGAACCAUGGAAGAAAAUAUCGGUAAUCACGAAUAUAUCGGUACUUCGAUUUUAUGGAUAUAUCGGCGGAUAUUUUGGAAAAAAAUAUCGGUAGGCUUAAAAUUGUUAAAAACUCAUGGAAAUGUAAAGAAAACUUCAUAAUAAUAUAAUUAGAAGUAUAAUAGACAUUUUAAAGUUGUUUUGUAGAAAAAAUUGAUAUACAUAUGAUAUAAUUUGCGAUAUUAAAUGUAAUUAUAUCAUGUCGAUCAAUAAGAAAUGUUAAUUUUGUAAUUAUUCUCAUUAUAAAGUCACAUAAAAUACUUCAUUUCAUUAAAUAGCAAUAAUUUGUACACAUUACAUUACAAUGUCCCUUUAAUACCAAAAUGAGGAUCGAUGUGGUUCAAUGGGAUUGAUAGAUGAAGGAACGCCGUCUUGCUGUUGGAGACAAUAUUGGUACCAACUCAAUGAGCCUCGAUAAUAUUGGUUAAAAAUUCUAACAUGCCAUGCAUAUAUCUCUUGAGUCCUGCCCACUGCCUCUACAUGGAUAGGAUACUCAAAGUUCACCCAUGUGUUAAUGCCCAAUCCUCCUUCCAUCUGAUAUGGAACUUGGUAAGGCAUUUGUCUUGAAGGUGAAUAACGCGACAUACCAUACUCUUCAUCUGUUGAACUUGAAGGUUGACCAUAACUCAUCACAUGAGGAGAGUAGACAUCAGCCUCAUUCGAGGAGUCACUAAAUUGAGUUCCUAUACUCAUAGAUUCAAAACUCCCUGAAAGUAACUCCUCAUUAUAUGGUUCCAUCAUUCGUUCUCUUCCUCUAUAAGGCUUCCCAAUAGCUCCUAUGCCUGGACCAGCUCUUCUAGAGCCAUGGUCUUCAUCUUGUGUGCAGUGUGUGAAAGUAUUUUCAUAGGUGAAUUGGCUGACUGGAUAUUGACUAUGUUGACGUUCAUUAAUAUCUCCUCCCGCAUUAUCACCUCCAUCAUCAGUUCCACCUCUUGAACCAUCGUAACCAGAAGCAGAAGUACCUGCAGCACUAGGUCUACUACUAUGGCCAGCACUUGUGGAGUUAAUCUCUUGGUGGGAAUCAUCAGUAUCUUUGCUAAAACUUUCAGAGUGAACUUCUUCAGACAACACACGUUCAACAUUAACUCCAAAUUCUCGAGCAUGAGCAGCAAUUCGUGGAUCGGGAUUUCCAACUUCGUCAUCCAAGUGUAUAGGUCUCACCCAUUGGAACAACUGAUUAUCUUCUUCUUCACCCACCUCGACUGAAAUGUCAAGAAUAUCAAGAUAAUCUUUUUCAGCAACUCGAUCAUUUUCUGCCUCCAUAUCGCGUAACUUUAGCCUUAUAUUAUAGUAACAAAAAACUAAUUGCUCCAAUCGAGAGUAAGCCAAACGAUUUCGUUGCUUUGUGUGGAUAAGAGCAAACGUGCUCCAAUUUCUCUCACAGGCAGUAGAUGACGCAGUUUGUGAGAGAACUUUGAUGGCUAACUUUCUCAAUGUAGGUGUUUGAUUCCCAUACAUAAACCACCAUUCAGCUGCAACCAAUUUGAUAAUCAUAUAAAUACUUAUAUGGUGAAUUUACAAUAAUGAUAAUCAAUUUUUUCCUACAAAGACUCACCGGGCACCAUGGUUAACCUUGCUGCAAUUGCCGCCCGAUCACCGAAUCCUCUUUUUGCAUCUCGAAAAAGCACAAGCUAUGUAUUCAACAUUGAAUUUGUUAAUAUCAUAUUUGUUAGUAAACGUUCAAAUAAAUUGAUGAAUGAAAUUAUUGUUUUAUAGACAAAUAACAAUUUUUUAUUUACCUCAUUUCCAAAUUGACCAAGUGAUUCAGUAGUUGGAUCUAAUUUUGCAAAAACAUCAUGGACCGCUUGAAGUAGUUCCGGAUCACUACCAACUCCACGCCUAUAUUGAAAUCUUGGAUUCAAGAAGUAUGCUACAAUAAAAUUAAGUAGAGUUAGUUUUUUUUUAAACAAAAUUAAAUACAGAGUAAAAACUUAUAAAGAUAUAUAGUACUUAAGUACCUGCUGCAUGAAGUGGAUGUUUUAGUGUUUUCUCCCAACGAUCUUGUAUUAUUUUGAACAUCCAAUCUCCAGCUCCUUGACGCGUAAGGUUCUUUUUCAUCACGUGCAUAAGCUCAUACACAAAUGGCAUUGUGGGAACAACUUCAGAAUCCAUAAGUCGAAGCACCACGUAUAAUGGCUCAUAUAAUGAAACUAUAUUUGUCAUUCUGUCCCAAUACGCAUGGUCAAACAAUAAUUGCUCCAACUCUCGUCCAUGUUUUGUUCGACUUAGCUUGUGUUGUGCCCAAUCAUCACUCAUAAACAAUUUUUUCAAAUCGACCCUUUUUUUAAGAAGACUGUCAAGAGCAAUAUAAUUGGUAGCAAACCUUGUAGCUCCUGGUCGAACAAUGUCUCCACCACAAUACAAUCUCAUUUGUGCUAGUAACCAACCAUGAUUGUAAAUGAAGUUAGUUAUCUUGCGAGCAUUGUUUAUCACCUCGAUAACACUGGGUCUUUUACCAAUGUCUUCAAAGAUUAAGUCAAUGCAGUGCGCCGCACACGGAGUCCAGUAUAAGUUAUACUUCUUCAUCAAUUGUUUCCCUGCUUUCAUGAACGCCGACCCAUUAUCUGUGACAAUUUGGACCACAUUUUCUUUACCGACUUCUUUGAUAGCAGUCUUCAAUAGGUUGUAUAUAUAAUUGUGGUCUUUAAUAUAGUUCGAUGCAUCAACUGACUUAAGGAAGACCGUGCUCCCUUUAGAAUAAACCAUGAAAUUAAUAAUACUUAAUUUCGUGGGCCCUGUCCAUCCAUCUGACAUUAUUGUGCACCCAUAUGUCUUCCAUUUUUCUCUUUGUUGGUUCACAUAAGCUUCCAUUUCUCUGUACUCCAUUUCCAAGUACUUGUUCUUUAUGUCAAAUGGAGAUGGAGGUUCGAUUCCCAUUCCUGCACUUCAUAUAAAAAAAAAAUGUAAAACAUGUCACAAAAGACUAUACUUACUAAAAGUAUAGCACAAUAUAACAUUUCAAAAAUUAGUAAUUACCAGCUUGUUGUGCACCAAUAAUCAUAUUCUUGAAGUGAUGAGACUUUGCUUUUGCGGGUGCGACGCUCUCAUAAAUGAAGAAUUUGCUAAUUAAGCGUCCCAUCGUUUCUUUAAUUGCACCACCCUUGAAUAUAUCUUUGAUAUUUUUUUGUUUUGCUGUAGAAGACUUGUAAAGCGAAGGAGCAAUAGGGGGUGAUUGUUGCAAAUGUCGCAUACUAUGUGAUUUUCGCAUCAUCGACGGUAAUCCAGUAGACUGUGAAGACUCCCCCGUUUUGCGUUUGCUUCCUACAAUAUUCUCAUAUUGUUCACGUUCCCAUUCUGAUGCUUUCGAGGCACGAACUGCAGAUCGAUAUGCAUCCCGCUCAUCUGGGUGCAUAUCUGCCGGAUACAUAUACACAUCUUCAUUCUCAACAUCUUCAUCAUCAUCAUCUUCGUCUACCAAAUGUGUAUGAUGAGUCCCCAUUGUGCCACGUAAUUGAGCACGAAUUUCUUCAAUAUCUGCAUUUUUCUUUACUUUUGCUUUUGUUUUGUCAUGCACUAGGAAUCGUAUCUCUUCUUUCACUUCGGGCGGCACUCUCGGACACUUUUUGGUGUUGUUAUGCGGGUCUUUUUGCAUUAAAUGAAACUUGAAUCGCGUGAUGCCUCCACUUUUCAUCACCAACCCACAGAAAUUACAAAUUGUUCCAUUUCGGUUACCCUCAAUCGAUAAAUAAUACUUCCAAGUCGGAUCUCGCCCUAGCAGGGCAAAACCACCUUCACUAGCCAUGCUAAAUCUAUUGCAAUAAAAAUACACUUGAAUGUGAUUUCAAUGUAAACAAAAAUCAAGUCAAUAUUUAAAUUUAAAUAUAUGAGAAAUGUACAAAAUAAUGAUAAAGAAUGAACAUAGUUGAUAUUCCAUAUAUUUAGUUAAACUAAUUAAAUAAUUUAGCUAAGUUAAUUUUUUGAAUCUAAAUCUAAUUUUAUGAAAAAUUUACUAAAUUAAAAAUUAAUCAUAAUUGGAUAUGAAACUAAAUCAUGAUAAUUAUAAAAAUUGAACAUAUUUAAUAUUCCAUAUAUAGUAGUUCAUGUUAAUUAAACUAAUUAAAUAAUUUAGCUAAGUUAAUAUUUUGAAUCUAAAUCUAAUUUUAUGAAAAAUUUACUAAAUUAAAAAUUAAUCAUAAUUGGAUAUGAAACUAAAUCAUGAUAAUCAUAAAAAUUGAACAUAUUUAAUAUUCCAUAUAUAGUAGUUCAUUGGGGUUGGAAAGCUUCAUGAGAACCUUAGUAGAGCGGUUACAACCCUACUUAGCAUGUUAAUUAAAUUAAUUAAAUGUGAAACUAAAUCACAAAUAAUCAUCUAAAAUAAACAUAUCAAUUUAUAAUUAAAUAAUCAAAUUAACCUAAGUCAAUUCAAUAAAAAUAUACAAAUUAAUUACUAUUGAAUAUAAAAAUAACAUUAAAUCAUCCAUAUUAAUUACAAUUGUAAACAAAAUUAAUUACAAUUUAAAAAAAACAUACCUUAAAAUUGGAGUAAUGAGAGAGCAAAUGAAGAAUGAAAGCAAAAAUGGGUGAAAUUGAUGGAAAAAUGGCUAUUUAUAGAAGAAAUUUGGGCCAAAAUAGCCGUUGGAACACCAAUUUACCGUUGAAAUUCAAAUCUGGCCGUUGGAUCACAAACUGGGACAAAUCUGGUCGUUGGAUCACAUUAUUAACGUUGGAAUCGCAUCUGGGCCGUUGGAUCAACGCGGGCGUGAUCUGGGCCGUCAGAUCGCGCUGGAGAGAGGAGCGAAAUAUCCCCAAAAAGUCGGCGAUUUAUCGGCGAUUUUCCGCGGCCACGGCGAUUAUUUGGAGAAAUCGCCGAUUUAUCGAUUUUCACCGAUAUAUCACCGAUUUAUCGGCGAUUUAUUGGCGAUUUUUUGCGAAAAAUCGUCCCCCGAUUUUUCUCCUGGAAAUGCCGUGUCGCCGCCUCCCGAUACAAGAUAUAUCGGCGAUAUUUCGCCGAUAUUUCGCGAUAUUUUCCUCCAUGAUUGGAACAAGUAGUUUGAUGAAUGAUGCUAUGUCCUUUCAAAUACUUUUGAAGAUCAGGACUCUGAUAUUCUCCACCAUUAUCGCUACGUAGAACCCGAACAUUUGCAUUGUACUGAGUUUCAAUCAUUUUAUGAAAUUUUUGAAACAACAAGUUCACUUUAUCUUUAGUCUUCAUCAAGCAUAACCAUGUCAUUCUGGUACAAUCAUCAAUAAAAGUAACAAACCAACGCGAACCACUCAAAGUUAGGACUUUGGAUGGGCCCCAAACAUCAGAAUGUAUAACCAUAAAAGGAAAUGGACUUUUAUUCAAAAUUAACGGAAACAAAGCACGAUGACUUUUAACCAAUUCACAAAUAUCACAACGGAAACCAGAAAUAUCACUCUUUGCAAACAAACUAAGAAACAAUUUUUUUAAAUAACCAAAGGAAGCAUGUCUCAAACGUCGAUGCCACAACCAAAUUUCAGACUUUUUUUUCUCCCCCUCAGAUCCAUCUGCCAUCAAGGCUUGUUGCAACUUAUUUGAAUCCUUUGACCGUAAGUCCAAGUAAUAGAGUUUUCCCCACUUAAUACCACAACCAAUCGUCUGUCUUGUUUGGAUGUCCUUAAAAACACAAAAUUCAGGCUAAAAAAUGACAAUACAAGAUAAGACUGCAGUGAUUUGAGAAACUGACAAAAGAUUGUAAUUUAAAUAUGGAACAACUAAAACAUAAUCCAAAUUCAAACUAUCAGUAAGAGUUAAGGAUCCUUCCCCAAUGAUUGGGGUUGUGUUACCAUUGGCUGUGGAAACAAUUUUUUGUGAAGAAGGUCUAAGGGGUGAGACCUGUCUAGAAUCAAAAGUCAUAUGAUUUGUAGCACCAUAAUCAAUUAUCCAUGCACUAUUAAUAACAGGUGUAGAAAUAUUUAAAAACUUACCACCAUAAUUUGUAGUGGUUAUCAAUGCAGAGGCUUUCUCAGCAACAUUAGCCUCUGUUUUUAUUUCGGCAACAGCUGCAGUUGAGGUUUUCUUGGAAUCUUUCUUCCGUUGAUCACGAUUAUGAUCCCACCAGUUUGAAUAUCCCACAAUUUCAAAGCAACGACUCUUGGUAUGACAAGUCUUAUUACAUUGAGUGCAUUUGAAGGUUGACCAGAAGGAUUGAAAAAACAAUAGUAUUUUUUUCACUCAUUUUUUUUUUAUCUUGAAAAAAUGGGCGAUGGCUGGCCUUACCGACAAAAUAUCCAGAAUUUCAGUUCCAUGGCUUUGAUACCAUCUUCAAAUUGAUGAAUGGUAGUUUUUCAUUCUUAUUUCAUUCGUUCAUGUACAAAGUAUAUAUAGAGGGUAAUCACCAUUCUAAGAAUGGGAAAGAAUGAUACAAAGAAGGAAUGAUAUAAGAAAAGAACAACUAAUAUUCUAAUAUCUCAAAAUUCCUAAUAUAAGGAAUGAUAUAAGGAAAGAACAACUAAUAUCCUAAUAUCUCAACAUUCCUAAUAUCUCAACAAAAUUCACCUAAAACUGGUACAAUUCGUUGGCGUACAGAGUUUGUGGAGCUCCAUUGACUUCAACCACCCAUCUUUGUAGAUUAUUGAUGACUUUAUGCUCGAAUCCCACAUGAGGAUUGACUUGACAUUCUGCCAGCUCUUUCCGGAAGGCGAUCUUGCUUAACACCUUGUGAGAAGGAGCAGAGGAAUUGGACAUUGUUUCCUCGAGAAGAUCAAAGUGGCCAAUGAUGGGUUUGGACCAGAAUUGCUAUCUGGAUUUUCUUUAGGUGAACCAAUUAGUGGAGUGGGUGGCUAUGCAACAAUUGAAGGGUGGCCAUACUAAUAAGGAGCUAUUAUUUCAUGCACAUGGAGAGAAAAGAAGUAGCUUCUUCAAGGAUUUAUGAUUAUUCAUCUCCAGCUUGCGUUGAAUAUCUCUUGAUCGAAAAAUUUCUGCUCUGGAGCUCCCUUAGUUUCACUACAACCAACUUGGCCAACUUGGUUUCAUCAUGUUUCCUACAACCUCCAGGCAAAGCAUUCCAGAUCACCGAAUCAGGUUCCAUUGGCAUUUUGUUCAUAAACUCCUUUGCCUAUUGACAACAGACUACCCCUCAAAAUUUGAUGAGAUAACAUUAAUGCUGACAUGUUGGCCAUCCCCAUAAGCAUCUUUAUAGAGAUUGAUUUUGCGUUUAGAUAUUUCUCUAUCCUCAAGUGAGUUCAACUUUUCUAUAACAUCCUUCUCCUUCUCCACUAAUAGUCUUAGCUGAACAUCCAACCUAUGUUCCCAAAGUGCUAGUAUCUCGUAUCUGAUGACUAGCCAACAACCUUGCCCUUGCUGAGACCCAAAUAAGUAUCUACAACCAUCAACAUCAACCCUCUCACAUGCCUUUGUAUUUGAAUGUUGGAUUGGGAUUGCUUUGAAUGCACUAGCACUGCAAUAAACAAUUGUUUCUUUUCCAAUAAAAACACCACAAAGAGGUGAGGGGACCGUGUUAAAGAUAUGGACUCACAUAUUUAUCAAUGGUUCAUGACUAAGCUAUUCGUCUUUCGCAUAUUUGUUUUUUAUCGGUUUUCUAAAGUAUAGGACACCUCAUGUGUAGAGCCCAAUACCAUAUGUGUCUCAGAUGAUGGGCCUGAGACACAUAUGGCCCAAUCUUUUAAACGGAGUGGUCCCUAAGGCAGAAGGGUAUAAAUAUAAAGGCUAAGUGUUUGCUCAUCAUGAUCACAUCUUUUGAAAUAAGAACAGAACCCGCUCUCUCCCGCUCCUAUCGUUAGAGAAAAUAACAGAGAAAUGUGGUGCCCUCCAUAGCCUUAGAAGAUCCAUACCUUAUCCAUCUUGGGAAAUAAUGGACUCAAGUAUGUUCCAAGAAAUGCAAAAGCAAGGCAUGUUUUCCAUGAUUGAAAUAUAUAUACAUUCAAUUUCUGUUGUUUGGGUAAUAAUGGAGAAUAAAAUAUUCACAUAGACCGGUAUUAGCAAAGCAGUCUUGUUGUCUAGAUUGUUCUGGGCCCGAGUACCCUCUACAAAAUCUUCAUCCUCAUUUGUACUCCUCCAUUAUAUUCCUAGGCGUUUCAAUGUGAUCCACAUGGCUUACAGGUAUCCAUAAAUACCGGUCUGUAUAAAAGUUGCUCUUAUGGGGCUCUUCUAGAAAACAUGCCAAUCAAGAUGAUCAACCUAGCUUAGAUGCUCAGCACCUCGAACUUACCAGAAAUAGAGGAAUAAAAAGCAAGGAUAGAAGCCAGAGUAAAAAUUGAGGGAAUAGCGAAUAGGAAAUCAAGUAAAACAUGAAUGUACAAAGCCUCAUUUCAGAUGACAUCCAUGGGCUAAUAACAAGUGGAAUUAACAAAGUACACAAACAUGAUUCUUAUAAAUAUCAAGUUCAGGGAUGAAGUCGUGCAUCAGCUACUUACAGGAGAAGUCAAGGAAACCAAGAUAAAGAUCAAAGAGAGCAUGUAUGCAAAUAAACAGAUUCAGCAAAAUAGACCAAACAGCUCGUGAUGGCCACACCAAUCAACAAGAUAACUUCCAGACAUUUGUAGAAAAAUGGAGCAGAAUAAUGUGAAAAUGAUAGAGUGCAAAGUUCACGGUGACCAUACCUGCAAGUCUCAUCUCCAAGCAGAGUUUGCUCGACUUUAAGUGUUUUCUUGCAUCUUUCUCCACAGCACAACUUUCUUCUGUUGUUCUCUCUCAAAACCUACUCUCUUAGAAUAUCAUAAUCUUUCAUUCUUUGCUCUCUAAUGUGUCUUUCUCUACCUCUCUCUCACAGUCCUGUUGCCCCCAAAACCUCCAUUAAAAAAAAUCCCAGAAUACUCCUGCUUUCACCGUUCCCAGGCCAUUGUCCCUCCCACAACUCCUCACAGCUUUUUUCUUUCAGCCUCGAGACAUUCUGCAGCUCCUCAAACAGCCUCUGCUACAUUUUCUCCCCUAGUUUCCCCUUUUAGAAAAUCACUACUCCACUCUCUGAAAAAGUGGUCUCUAACCAACCUCCACUAGAGAGAAUAUCCUCUCUAAUAGCUCACCUGUCCUGCGAAAAAAAAAAAAACUACUACAUGUGGCAAAAAGUGAUGAAAAAAACAAAAGGAAGUCUGACUCACCUCUCUUGCAAAAUAUAGUGUACUACACAUGGCAAAAAAGUGAUGAAAAAAAGUUGGUCUACAUAGACAUCCUAUUAUAUCAUAUCAUUUCAAAUCCAAAGCAACAUGUAUUUUCAAUGGGAUUUGUUGUGAUGAGUUUUACAGGAUUGUAACACGUAAAUAUGUUAAAAGAAGCUUGGGACCUUCCUAUAGUAACACAUAAAGGUACUUCCAUUGUGAAGUUGUCAAAAUUACAAAGUUUGAAAACAUAGAGAUGAAAGAUGAUGAAUCUUCUUUGAAAUUUUAUAUUGAACUCAUUAAUAUUAUUAAUUCUCAUUUCAGUAUAGGGGAAAUGAUUCUUUACUCUAAAGUGGUAAAAAAAAAUAUUAAAAUUUCUCAUCGAGAGAUUUAGACCUAAAGUGAUCAAUAUAGAAGAAAGUAAAAAAUUCUGAGUGUAGGUAAACUUGUAGACUCAAAUGACUACCAUCUCAUAAAAAUCCUCAAUUUUAUAAAUUAUAUAGAUUUCUUCAUUUGAUACAAAAUUUGAAUAAAUAUUUUUCCAAUGACAAUACAAGGAAAGAAAAAAAAAAAAAAAAACUCUCUAGAUCAUAUUAUUUAAACACUUAAAUUAUUUUAAAAUAAAAAUGUUUAUUGCUAACAUUAUUUAGGUUCAUCUUUCUUUUGAUGGAGGUUAAAAUUCACAAUUUGGAGGAAAAAAUGAGGAUUCUGAUUUUUUUUUUCCAUGUAUGAAUGGGAUUCUCAUCGUGUAUAUGCAGGUUACUCAAUGGUAGAUUUCAGCCACCAAAGUCCUGCAAUAUGAGGAAAAAGAUGAAGUUGAGUUUGUCACCAAGAACAGACAUGACUCCUAUAAAGGUGGCAUCCUUAAUUUCAUGUCUGGAUUGGACUUGUCAUGUAACAACUUAACAGGUGAAAUCUCUCAUGAACUUGGAAUGUUAAGUUUGAUUCAUGCAUUGAACUUGUCUCGCAAUCAACUAAAGGGCUCCAUUUCAAAUAGUUUUUGCAAUCUUUCUCAAAUAGAGAGCUUAGAUCUUUUUAAUAAUAAACUAAGUGGAGAAAUUCCUCCAAAAUUGGUUAGACUAACUUUUUUAGUGGCGUUCAAUGUGACUCACAAUAGCAUCUUUGGAAGAGUUUCAGAUAUGAAUGCAUAAUUUGCAAUAUUUGAUGAAAGUAACUAUGAAGAUAAUCCUUUCCUUUGUGGACCACCAUUAAAGAGAAAAUGCAGCAUAAAUGUUAAGCCACCUUACCCACCAUUAGAGUCUUAAAAAAAAAGUGAUGCAAAAUGGUAUAAUAUCGAUCUUGUGGUUUUCUUUGCAAGUUUUACUAUAUCAUAUAUCAUGAUAUCAUUAGGAAUUUCAACCAUUCUUUACAUUAACCCUUAUUGGUGUCAAAGAUGGUUCAAUUUUAGCGAGAAAUAUAUAUACUUCUUUAUGCCAAUUUCACCAAUCUUUUGUUUUUAUUUUCAUGUAUCAUUCCUUUUUUGGUUAUUUAAUUAAAAGGAUAUAUUCACAAGAAUAACCUUCAUAUUUUAAAAACAUAAAAUAAACAUUUUUUUUUUAUAAAAAUACCCUCCAACUAUAAUUUUUAUAUGUCCCUAUUUCAAAUCCAAACACUUCUUUUAAUAAUAAUAAUAAUAAAUAAGGGCAAAAAUGUCAAACUGGGAUUAUAUUUAUAAUUUUCAAUAAUUAGAGGUUGUUUUUCCAAAGUAAAAAUUAUUUUGUUCCUUUGGCACAAAUGUUUAUUUCUUUUAUGUAUUUUUUUAUUCAAAAUAUUAAACACAUUACCCUCAAGGUUACUAUUUAUUAUGAAUGGUGUUUACUUUACAUAACGACAUAUUCAAAAAAUUUAGAAUUUUUUAAUGUUAAAAUAAUUUGGAGCUUAAUAGGGAAAAAAAAGAAUAAAUAAUUAGAAAAGCAAUUCAAAAAAAUAAAAUUUAUCCUCUUAAAUUGGUUUUGUGUAAUACUAUAGAAGCCAUUUCUUGAGUUUGAUAUGGUAGAAUUUGGAUUCAUAUUUAUUUUAAAAUCAAGAAAUUCAAGUGUUGGUAGCAUCAAUAGAAUCUUAACAAAUUUGCAAAAAAAUAUUUAGGUAGAUCACAUUUAAAUAUAGCUAAUAGAAUAAAAAAUUAGUAUUAUUAGAAAGACAUGAUCAAUUAAAUCUUUUUUCUUAUCUAUGACACCGACUUUAUUUUUUUACAUAGUCAAUAUAAUUUAUUACAACUUAUAUGUCAUUAAAUUAUACACGUUUAUAUUAAAUAUAAUAUAAGAUCAUUAAUGGAAUAAUUAUGCAAGUAAUAUAAAUUGUAUAUAAUAUAAAAAAUUUAAACUCCAUCAAACUAAUGGAAUCUAUUAUAAUAAGUAGACUAGACUCCAUGUUGGCCCGAGUUGGAGGCCUGGGCCAGAUUUUAAAGGCUGGGCUUUGAGUUGCCCGUGGGCCUGAGCCAAGGCCUUCUCUUGGUAUCAUCAUUUUGAAGAAAUAAAUUGCUGAUACAGAGAAAAAAACUAUACUAAAUAGAAAAAUAAAUAAAAGCAUUGACUAAAAUGAAGGUCAAGGUCCUUGAAAAAUAAUCUUUAAAUUGUUGCAUAUAUAAUUUCAAUAAUGCAUAAAUAAUUGCAAUAUAUAUGAUAUGAUAAAGAAUUUGGAAUUAAAAGAAGAUUGAUCUAUUUUAAAUGUGGUUGGAAUAUUUCUAAAUUUGUGAUGGGAAGUUAGACAGCCAAUUAGGGAUCCAUAUUAUUUAUUUUCAAUGAUAUGAAUUUAUUUACUUUUAUUAAUAUUCUUAAUGCAACAAUAUAAAAUAUGUCAAUUUUCUAAAAUUAAAAAAGUAAUUGUAAAAGAAAAUUUUUAAUUAUUUUUCUGAAAUUGAGUUUAUUAUAACAUUUUUCUUUACAUAAAUUUCGUUUUUAUUUUUAUUUUUUUAAAAAUGAGAUAUGAAAAAAAAAGAUCAAUAUUAGUAAAAGUAAAACCCAAUAUAUAAAAAAAAAUGAAUAAAUGUUUAUGAAAUAAGAUUUAAAAGUGAGAAGGUAAUAUAUUUUUUCUCUUUUAAUUCCUAUUCAAUUCAUUACAAAAAAUAUUUUUGGUUUUUAUGCUAAAAUUUAUUGUUUAUUCAAAAAUUCUAGUAUAUCUAGCUAUCAUAGAAGAGCUCCAAAAUUUUAUUGUUUAAGAGAAUAUGUGUUGCCACUUUAAAAGAUUUAUAUGCAAAAGGGAUUGAUAUUUUUUUCCUUUGGAUAUGUUUAGUUCCCGGAAAAUUUGAGGGAAAAUGUGAGGGAAGAAAAAUAGAGAAGAAAAGUAUAACGAAAUAAAAAGUGAAAGAAAAUGAAAAAUAGAUUUAAAGUUAAUAAAUUAUUUUCAUUGGUUUUUUCAAACUUAUUUUACUUAUUUUAUUCUAUUAAAUAAAGAUUAACUAAUUUUAAUUAUAUUUGGUUUGAUUUUUAUUAUUUUUCAAAGCAAAACCAAAUAUGAAAAAAAAAACAUUUUUUUUUGUUAGUUUUUUCUUUCCUUAUUACUUUUCAGGACUCAAACAUAGCUUUUAGAUUUGGAGCAUGGAAAGAUAAGAGUAUUGAAUAAAGGUUCUAUAUAUGCCCAUGCCCAUGCCCAUGAUACCAUUGAAAAAAAUGGAGAGAGGGUGAAACCUUUACUAGAUGAUAAAUUAUUCUCUUCAAUGGAAAUCAAAUAUAAUUAUUUUUAUCUUGUAUUAAUUGAAUGUUAUACUCCAUAAACUCAAAAUUAAAAUAAAUAAAUAAUUUAAAAACUAGGACAAUCCCAUUUUUUUUCAAUUUCUUAAAAAGAAAUUAAAUUAUAUUUAUUUAUAUCUAUUUUCAUCCCUACCCAAAAAAAUAAAAAAAAUUAACAAGGUGGGACAUGUAUGAGAAAUUCUCACACUAACUCUCUCUAGUUUAUUUUUUAUUUUUUUAAAAAAAUCAAUUUAUUUUAAAAAAAAAUUAAACUACAUAAAAAAUAAACAAAUUUUACAAUUUUUUUUAAGAAAAGUAAAUUUCUUAUUUUAUAUAUGUUAAAAAUAAAUAUAAUCUUUUAUUUUUUAUAUAUAUAAUCGGGUAAGAUAAAGUGGGACAAAGAAAUAAUCCCCUUCGAUUCCAAUCUGAAUUUUUAAAAUAUAAAAUAAAAAUCUUAAACUCAUCCCAAAUUCAUUUAUUUUUAAUCCUAAACUUGUCUUAUUAAGAAUAAGACAAAGAGAGUACAUGAAAACACUUCUUUUAUCAUCAUCUCUACAAGUUCUAAUGUUUAGACUACAAUCCAUAUCAAAGAUUUAUAAAGAAAGAACAACAAUGAAUUUCAUAAACAUUUGAAAGCAUAUACAAAGUUUUAAAUAAUAUUGCUUGAGGUGCAAAUAUUAUUUGGCGCACAUGUUGAGGGACUUCAACUGGUGUAGUCUAGGUUUUUUACACUAGUAAGUAAUCUUGAAUAUCUAGAGUAACUUGAUCAAAAUCUCUUUAAUUUUAUUUUCUUUGAUGGUUGUAUGAUGAAUUAGAAUGCUUAUAUAACAUGAUUAAAAAAUUUAAGAAAAAAAAACUAAGAAGAAAGAAAGAAGCACCGAUCUUCCAAAUAUUGCUUCCACUUUAAUAUCUAGAAGGCUCUAAGAAAAGAACUUUAUUCAUGAAUCAUAACCCAAGUCGAAAAUAAAUUGAACCCAUUUUCUAAGUUAAAAUUUGAAUUUUUUUACUGAUGAAUGCAAAUUGGGAAAAUGUAUAUAAAUAUAAUUAAACUAGAAUAGUAGGUUAGGUUUGUAGGUGGAGUUUGUUUGAAUUGUUGGAACUUCCAAGUCGUUGUGGGUCUAGUGGUCUCAUAGCUCUCUAUUAAUUUCCACCAUCAAUUUUCUACAAUAAAGUCAAGUCAUUCCUAACCCCUAUAUUAAGUUGGCCUUAAAAGUUAAGUCAUUGAUCAUAGUUACAUUCAUGAAUCACAACCCAAGUUGAAAAUAAAUUGAACCCAUUUUCCAAGUUCAACUUUGAAUUUUUUACUAGUGAAUGCAAAUUGGGAAAACAUAUAUAAGUAUAAUUAAACUAAAAUAGUAGAUUAGGUUUGUAGGUGGAGUCUGCUUGAAUUGUUGAAACUUCCAAGUCAUCGUGGGCCCAGUGGUCCCAUAGCUCUCUAUUAAUUUCCACCAUCAAUUUUUUGCAGUAAAGUCAAGUCAUUCCUAACCCCUAUAUUAAUUUGGCCUUAAAAGUCCAGUCAUUGAUAGCUAAAUCCCAACCCAAGUCAAAAAUAAAUUGAACCCAUUUUCUAAGUUCAACUUUGAAUUUUUUUUAAUUGGAAAAAUGUAUAUAAAUACAAUUAAACUAGAAUAGUAGAUUAGGUUUGUAGGUGGAGUCUGCAUGAAUUUGUGAAACUUCCAAGUGGUCGUGGGUCUAGUGGUCCCAUAGCUCUCUAUUAAUUUCCACCAUCAAUUUUGUGCAAUAAAGUCAAGUCAUUCAUAACCCCUAUAUUAAGUUGGCCUUAAAAGUCAAGUCAUUGAUCAUAGUUACAUUCAUGAAUCACAACCCAAGUCGAAAAUAAAUUGAACCCAUUUUCCAAGUUCAACUUUGAAUUUUUUACAAUUGAAUCCAAAUUGGGAAAACAUAUAUAAGUAUAACUAAACUAAAAUAGUAGAUUAGGUUUGUAAGUGGAGUCUGCUUGAAUUGUUGAAACUUCCAAGUCAUCGUGGGCCCAGUGGUCCCAUAGCUCUCUAUUAAUUUCCACCAUCAAUUUUUUGCAAUAAAGUCAAGUCAUUCCUAACCCCUAUAUUAAUUUGGCCUUAAAAGUCCAGUCAUUGAUAGCUAAAUCCCAACCCAAGUCAAAAAUAAAUUGAACCCAUUUUCUAAGUUCAACUUUGAAUUUUUUUUAAUUGGAAAAAUGUAUAUAAAUACAAUUAUACUAGAAUAGUAGAUUAGGUUUGUAGGUGGAGUCUGCAUGAAUUUGUGAAACUUCCAAGUGGUCGUGGGUCUAGUGGUCCCAUAGCUCUCUAUUAAUUUCCACCAUCAAUUUUCUACAAUAAAGUCAAGUCAUUCCUAACCCCUAUAUUAAGUUGGCCUUAAAAGUCAAGUCAUUGAUCAUAGUUACAUUCAUGAAUCACAACCCAAGUCGAAAAUAAAUUGAACCCAUUUUCCAAGUUCAACUUUGAAUUUUUUUACUAGUGAAUGCAAAUUGGGAAAACAUAUAUAAAUAUAAUUAAACUAAAAUAGUAGAUUAGGUUUGUAGGUGGAGUCUGCUUGAAUUGUUGAAACUUCCAAGUCAUCGUGGGCCCAGUGGUCCCAUAGCUCUCUAUUAAUUUCCACCAUCAAUUUUUUGCAAUAAAGUCAAGUCAUUCCUAACCCUUCUAUUAAUUUGGUCUUAAAAGUCCAGUCAUUGAUAGCUAAAUCCCAACCCAAGUCAAAAAUAAAUUGAACCCAUUUUCUAAGUUCAACUUUGAAUUUUUUUAAUUGGAAAAAUGUAUAUAAAUAAAAUUAAACUAGAAUAGUAGAUUAGGUUUGUAGGUGAAGUCUGCUUGAAUUUGUGAAACUUCCAAGUCGUCGUGGGUCUAGUGGUCCCAUAGCUUUCUAUAAUUUCCACCAUCAAUUUUCUGCAAUAAAGUCAAGUCAUUCCUAACCCCUAUAUUAAUUUGGCCUUAAAAGUCCCGUCAUUGAUAGCUACGUUCAUGAAUCCCAACCCAAGCCAAAAAUAAAUUGAACCCAUUUUCUAAGAUCAACUUUGAAUUCUUUUAAUUGGGAAAAUGUAUAUAAAUACAAUUAAACUAGAAUAGUAGAUUAGGUUUGUAGGUGGAGUCUACUUGAAUUUGUGAAACUUCCAAGUCGUCAUGGGUCUAGUGGUCCCAUAGCUCUUUAUUAAUUUUCACCAUCAAUUUUCUACAAUAAAGUCAAGCCAUUCCUAAACCCUAUAUUAAUUUGGCCUUAAAAGUCAAGUCAUUGAUAGUUAUGUUCAUGAAUCACAACCCAAGUCUAAAAUAAAUUGAACCCAUUUUCCAAGUUCAACUUUGAUUUUUUUACUAGUGAAUGCAAAUUGGGAAAACGUAUAUAAAUAUAGUUAAACUAGAAUAGUAUAUUAGGUUUGUAGGUGGAGUAAGCUUGAAUUAUUGAAACUUCCAAGUCGUCGUGGGUCUAAGGGUCCCAUAGCUCUCUAUUAAUUUCCAUCAUCAAUUUUUAUGAAUUAAGAUUUAAAAGUGAGAAGGGAAUAAAUUUUUUCUUUUUCAAUUCAUUACAAAAAAUAUUUUUGGUUUUUAUGCUAAAAUUUAUUGUUUAUUCAAAAAAUUAAAGUAUAAAAAUAUAAAAAAUAUAUAUAUAUAUAUAUAUAUAUAUAUAUAUAUAUAUCUUGCUAUUAUAGAAGAGCUCCAAAAUUUUCGUGUUUAAGAGAAUAUGUGUUGCCACUUUAGAAGAUUUAUAUACAAAAAGGAUUGAUGUUUCUCCUUUGACUAUGUUUGGUUCCCAUAAAUUUGAGGGAAAGAAAAUAAAUAAAAAAAUAGUAAAAAAGAAAAAAUGAAGGAAAAUAAAAAAUAGUUUUAAAGUAAAUAAAUUAUUUUUAUAUGCUUUUUCAAACUUAUUCUACUUAUUUUCUUUCAUUAUAUAAAGAUCAAAUAAUUUUAAAAUGCAUAAAUUUCUAACUAAUUUUAAUUAUAUUUAAUUUUUCUUUUAUAUUUUUUAGACGGGAUCCAACACAUGAAAAAAUCCAUUUUUUAGCAUCUUUUUUUCUUUUCUUAUUACUUUCUAAUAACCAUAUAUAACCUUUAGAUUUAGCCUAGACUUGGAGUAUGGAAGGAUACUGAGUAUUGAAAGAAGGUUUUGUAUAUGGCCAUGAUACCAUAGAAAAAAUAUGCGAGAGGGAAAAAACCUUUAUUAAAUGAUAAAUUAUUUUUUUCAAUGGAAAUCAAAUAUAAUUAUUUUUAUAAUAAUUACUUUAUUUUUAAAAAAAAUAAUAAUAAAAAAAAUAAUUUGUUGUUGCAUAAAGUAUUCUUGCAUUUGAAGAAGCAUGUUACUACUUACUACAUAAAUAGAUAUUCAUGGAGUGCAUUCUCUAAAAAGCUCCAGUCUCAUGAAAAUAGAAAGAUGGACCGGCCGGUGAACCGGUUCGAGUUUGGAUUUAUGGGCUACCUCAGCCUUACACGCAUGAUAGGCUGUUGCAGGUGAAGAACUAAUUAAUUUAAAGCGUUCUUCUAUCCUCUCCUAUUCCUCAGUGUAUUUAAACUAAACAUUAGGAAGGGUGACUAAAAUUAACCCUCUAGGUAUAUAUGUUUACCAAAAUUUUUAUUGUUUAUUUUUCAUUUAAUGUUUGCAUUUAAACAUUGAAAAUGAAUUGUUUUUCCAUAUGUUAACAAAAAGAAAUUUGAACACCUAUAAAAAUGAAAUCUUGUAGUAAAAUUGGAGUUACAUUAUCAGACUUUUAACGAGUGUUUAUGUUUAGAAAGGCCAAUUAAAGCAAGCAUGCAUCUAGAAAUUGUAACUUAGAUGCAUCAAACAUGAGCAACAUAUUUGAUAUAACUAAUAGUUUCUUAAGUAACUAAACACUUCUUUUUCUAUAAAUUUACUUGAUUAUCGAUGAAUACUUACAUAUAUUUACAUAGUUUGAUAAAUAUUUUAAAAUAGUAUUAGAAUAACUUUGUUUUUUCUCAAUUAUAUUAGAAAAUAAUAUAAAGUUACUUAUAAACUUUAUAUCAUUUUCUCAAAGUCAAGUCAUUUACAAUUAUUUCUAUCUAGCCUUCUCCAUUAUGACAACUUUUAUAUGAUAGUCGUUGAUUGGAAGAAUCUACACGUCUUUUUUGAUAGGAUAGUUGUUUUUAUUAUUUUUAUGAUUUUUAUUUUUUUUAUUCCAAAAUUUUGCUUCUAUCAUUGAAACUUUCAAAUCUUUUAUAUAUAUUACCAAUCAUUUUACAAGUGAGUUAAUUUCACUUAGGGUAGAUAUACUUAGCCACACCCCUAUAGAUGUAAUUUGUGUUUAAAUUUUAUUUUUUAUUCAGGUAAAAAUAUCUUAGGUAUAUGUGUUCAACAAUUCUCUAAAAAAUAAAUUUUCUUAUCUAAAAGUUUAUAUAGACAAAAUAUAUCUAUAGAAGUCCUAACUAAUGAAAUUUAAAAUCAAUGGUUGUUUAGUGUAUUUACAUUAAACCUUAUGGGGUAUGAUUGAAAUUAACUCUUUUACAAGCACUUGUAGCUUAUAUGUUUGAAGUUGUAGUGUUGGAAAUUGAUCAUUUUCUUGAAGGCCUCUAAGAAAUUGGAAAUAUUGCCAUAGUUUUAGACUUUUUUUAUUACACCUAAUAAAAAAUAUUAUUAAUUUAACAUAUAUAUUCUUGACUUAAAAGUAAAGUCUCUCCAUAUUGUAUGAGCCCUUAGGUGACAAUAUUAGGUGAAGUUUUUCUUUCGUUUAUUAAAAAAUAUAAAUAAUUUAUUAUUGUAUGAUAAAAUUUUAUGUAAUAUAUUUUUAUAGAUGUAAAAUUAUUAAUUGGGUUUUAUUUUAUUUUUACUAAAUUGUCAUUUCAAUAUAUAAAACUUAUUUGUAAAAAGACAAUUAUAAACUAUAUGAAAUUGAAAAACAUUUAGUUUUUUUAUUUAAUUUAGAAUUUUAUUUGGAUUAAUAAUUGAUAUUUGUAAGAUUUUUUAAUAUUUAAAAAAGUUAUCAUACUUAAGAAAGAUAUUCAAGAUCGGGAGUGUUUGAUAUUGGAUUAAUUUCCUUAUUUUCUCUAUUUUAAUAAAUUUUCACGUUCAUUACAAAAUUUUUGUUGUUUAUUUUUCACUUCAAUAUUUUUAUUUUGUAAUAGACAUUUGAAAAGAUUUUUUCCUACAUGUAAAAAAAAAAUAUUUGAACACUCCUAAAAAAGAAAUAUUGUAAUAAAAUUAAAGUUUACACUGUAGGACUAUUAGCAAGUGCUAUAUACAUAAAAUAGACCAAUUAAAGUAGAAAUACUUCUAAAAUUGUAAUUUAGGUAACAAUAAUAUAAAAAGAUAAUAUUUUUGAAACAAUAGUUCUCUUGGAGUUUUGGGUACGAUGGACUAGACUUUAUGUAACAACAGAUAUCCAAACUUUCCAUUAACAUCUUAAGAGACAUGAUGAGGAGCAAAGUCAUCCUAGAAGGUACCAUAGAGGUACCUUAGCUCCAUUCAUCUAGACUACAUAAUGUUUAAAGAUCAAAUUCAAUGACUAGCUAGAAGGUACCAUAGAGGUACCUUAGCUCCAUUCAUCUAGACUACAUAAUGUUUAAAGAUCAAAUUCAAUGACUAGAUUUCAAAAAUCAAUAUAAGCUUUCUCAUAUUCUACUCUAUAUAAGGCAAUGGUAUGAUACCUCUCUUGUGUCAUAGAAUACACCAUGAAAACCUUAUCAUUUUAACAUCAGUUUGAAACUUAAAAGUCACUUAGCACAUUCUAGUUAUUAAUUUAAGAGCAUUAAAAGAAAAUAUAAAAAAAGUUACUUUAUCCUUGUGAUUUUGAUCUAGGACUUUUAAUGAUAUUUAAAAAAAAAACAAAACAGAAAAAUAAAUGGAAAUAAAAUCAACAAAUUAAACAAUUGAAUUAAGUUAGUUUAAUUUUUGUAUCGUUAAAUAGGUAAAUAAAGACUCUUAGAUUUGAUAUUAAUAUGAACAUCAUGACUUCAGUGAAUCUUACAAGAAAAUUUUAGUUUGAAAGACUUCAUUCAUUAAACGUGUGGCACAUAUUAAAGUAAAACUAAGUCUUCUCUAUAAUUUGUACCUAUCAUAGUUUCUUUCCUCAUAAAUAGCCUUUUUUGAAUAUAAUAUAGACUUCAACAUGUAUGGUGGGGCCGAUCAAACUACUAGUCAAGACAACUCAUGGGCAACAACGAUGUACCAACUACAUUAAAUACUCUUCAUCUAUUUGCAUAUUAAGAGUAAUUUAGUAGUGUCUUUCUUAUGUACCUCAUAUCUAGACUUUCAAUGGAGAGUUCUUCAUCUAAAAAUUUGACUUAGGUUUUCAUACUAGUUUUGGUUUAGACAUGUGGAUGCAAAGGUUGCAUCAAAGAAGAGAAGUAGGCUAAAUCAUCUUACAAAUUUUCAAGUUCAAAAUAGAUGCACCAAACAUAUGCAAUAUAUUUGAUAUAACUAAUAUUUUCUUAAGUAAUUGAAUACAAUUUUUUUUUUUUAUAAAUUUACUUGAUUAUCAAUGAAUAACUACAUGUAUGGUAUUGACACAACUUGAUAAAUCUUUUAAAAUAGUACUAGAAUAACUUUGCUAAAAAAAAGUAAAAAUAAAAAUAAAAAUACGUCUAUAUAUAUAAAAAAAUUAAAUAAAAUUAAAAAUUAAAAAAGAAUAUAUAUAUAUAUAUAUAUAUAUAUAUAUAUUUUGUUGUGUGUGUGUGUGCAUGUUCCCACAACUCAUUAGCUACUCAUAAGCUUUAUAUCACUUUCUCAAAGUCAAGUCAUUUUGUAAUUAUUUCUCUCUAGCCUUCUCCAUUACGACAACUGUAUAAGAUAUUGAUUGGUUGGAAAAAUCUUCAUGUCUUUUUUUAUAAGAUAGUUUUAUUAUUAUUAUUAUUAUUUAAAGAAUUUGCUUUUAUUAUUGCUUUCAAAUCCUUUAUGUCUAGUGGUCCUACAAUUCCCUAUUCAUUGGUAUUUCAUAUUACCAAUCAUUUUACAAAUAAGUUUAUUUCACUCAGUAAAUAUACUUAACUACUAAUGGUUUCAAAUUUAAUUGAUUAACACACUUAUAGAUGUAAUUUGUUUUUAAAUUUUAUUUUUUUAGAAGAAUUGUAGGUAAAAAUAUUUUAGGAAUAUGUGUUCAAUAAUUCUCUAAAAACAAUUUAUAUAGAUGGAAUACAUUCAUGGAAGUUCCAACUAAUGAAAUUUAAAACCAAUGACGAUUUAAUGUAUUUGCACUAAAUCUUAGGGGAGGUGUACUAAAACUAGCCCUUUUACAAAUAUUUGUAGCUAGUAUAUUUGUAGUUAUAGUGUUGGAAGUUGAUCAUUUUCUUAAAGGCCUCUAUGAUAUUAGAAAUAUCGCCAAAGUUUUGAACUUUUUGUUUCACCUAAAAAAAAUAUCAUUAAUUUAAUAUAUAUACUCUUCGCUUGAAAGUAUAGUUUCUUCAUAUUGUAUGAAGUUGUAGCUAGGUGGCAAUAUUGGGUGAAAUUUUUUUGGUUUACUAAAAAAUAUAAAUAAUAUAUUUAUUAUAUGAUAAAAUUUUGUAAAAUAUAUUAUUAUAGAUGCAAAAUUAUUAAUGGAGUUUUAUUUUUUUACUAAAUUAUCAUUUCAAUAAAUAAGAACUUAUUUGUUAAAAGAAAAUUAUAAAAUAUAUGCAGUUGAAAAAAAUUUAAUUUUUUUAUUUAAUUUGGUAUUUUAUUUGAAUUAAUAAUUGAUAUUUGUAAGAUAUUUUAAUAUUAAAAGAAGUUAACAUAUUUAAAAAAGACAUUCAAAAUCAAGAGAGUAUAUGAUAUGAAAUCAAUUAAUUUAUUUUUUCUAUUUAAAUAAAUUUUUACAUCCAUUAAAAAAAUUUUAUUGUUUAUUUUUCACUUCAAUAUUUUUAUUUUGUAAAAGAAAUAGAAAUAAAAUCAACAAAUUAAACAAUUGAAUUAAGUUAGUUUAAUUUUGCCACCGUUAGGUAAAUGAAGACUCUUAUAUUUGAUAUUAACAUGAACAUCAUGACUUCAUUGAAUCUCACAAGAAAAUUUUAGUUUGAAAGAUUUUAUCCUUUAAUCAUGUGGCACAUAUUAAAGUCAGACCAAGUCUUCCCUAUAAUUUGUAUCUAUCACAAUUUCUUUCCUAAUGAAUAGCCUUUUUGAAUAGAAUAUAGACUUUAGCAUGCAUGGUGGGGCCUAGCUAUCAAACUACUAGUCAAAACAACUCAUGGGCAAGAAUGAUGUACCAACUAGAUUAAGUAUUCUCCAUCUAUUUGCAUAUCAAGAGUAAUUUAGUAGUAUCUUUCUUGUGUACCUCAUUUCUAGACUUUCAAUGGAGAGUUAUUUAUCUUAAAAUUUGACGUGGGUUUUCAUACAAGUCUUGGUUCAGAUAUGUGAAUGCAAAGGUUGCAUCGAAGAAGAGAAGUAGGCUAAGUCAUCUUACAAAUUUUCAAGUUCAAAUUAGAUGCAUCAAACAUGUGCAACAUAUUUGAUAUAACUAAUAUUUUACCAAGAAACUAAAUACUUUAUAUAUAUAUAAAUAAACAAAAUAAAAAAUUUAAAAAGAAUAUAUAUAUUAGUGGUCCCACAACUCAUUAGCUACUCAUAAGCUUUAUAUCAUUUUCUUAAAGUCAAGUCAUUUACAAUUAUUUCUAUCUAGCCUUCUCCGUUGCGACAACUAUACAAGAUAUUAAUUGAUUGAAAAAAUCAUCAUGUCUUUUUUGAUAGGAUAGUUUUUUUUUUAUUCAAAGAACUUUCAAAUCCUUUAUGUCUAGUGGUCCUACAAUUCCCUAUUCAUUGGUAUUUCAUAUUACCAAUCAUUUUACAAAUAAGUUAAUUUCACUCGGUAAAUAUACUUAACCACCAAUGGUUUCCAAUUUGUAGCACUCUUAUAGAUGUAGUUUGUUUUUAAAUUUUAUUUUUUAGAAGAAUUGUAGGUAAAAAUAUUUUAGCUAUAUAUGUUCAACAAUUCUCUAAAAACAAUUUAUAUAAAUGAAAUACGUUCAUGGAAGUUCCAACUAAUGAAAUUUAAAACCAAUGAUGAUUUAAUGUAUUUGUACUAAAUCUUAGGGAGUGUGGACUAAAAUUAGCCCUUUUAAAAAUAUUUAUAACUAGUAUAUUUGUAGUUGUGGUAUUGGAAGUUGAUCAUUUUCUUAAAAGGUUGACCAUUGAAGUUAGUUGAAUAUAAAGUUAGGUGAACUUUACCAUUGUUAAAUUGGUAAAUGAAGACUCUUAGAUUUGAUACUAACAUGUACAUCAUGACUUCAUUGAAUCUCUCACAAGGAAAUUUUAGUUUGAAAGACUUCAUCCUUAAAACAUGUGGCACAUAUUAAAGUGAGACCAAGUCUUCCCUAUAAUUUGUAUCUAUCACAAUUUCUUUCCUCAUAAAUAGCCUUUUUGAAUAGAAUUAAUAUAGACUUUAGCAUGCAUGGUGGGCCCUGUCAAACUAUUAGUCAAGAUAAUUUGUAGGUAAGAACGAUGGACCAACUAUAUUAAAUACUCUUCAUCUAUUUGCAUAUCAAGAGCAACUUAAUACUGUCUUUUUUUUGUACUUCAUGUUUGAACUUUCAAUGGAGAGUUUGUCAUCUAAAUAUUUGAUGUGGGUUUUUAUAUUACUCUUGGUUCAAAUAUGUGGAUGCAAAGGUUGCAUCGAAGAAGAGAAGAUGGGUUUGCUUGAAUUCAAGGCUUUUCUUAAAUUGAAUGAUGAGCAUGCAGAUUUUCUUCUCCCUUCAUGGAUAGAUAACAACACUAGUGAAUGUUGUAAUUGGGAGCGAGUUAUUUGCAAUCCCACCACAGGUCGAGUUAAGAAGCUUUUCCUCAAUGAUAUAAGGCAACAACAAAAUUUGUUGGAAGACGAUUAGCACUAUUAUGAAAAUGCCAAAUUCUGGUUACUAAAUAUCUCCCUAUUCCUUCCUUUUGAAGAACUUCACCAUCUAAACUUGUCUGCAAACUCAUUUGAUGGGUUUAUUGAGAAUGAAGGUAUGUUACCUCUCACCUUUAAAAUUUCUUUUCACUUAUACUCCAAACAUUCUAAAGGAACUACUAUCAUAUGUUCUUAAAAGUGUUCAGGUGGAGACCAAAUGGUCACUAGUAACUAUUGAAUUUAAUAUAAGAACAAUUACUAAUUAUUAAAAUUUAUAAUGUAAAUUAACAUUUAAAUAGAACAAUAAAAAAAAUUAUUAUUUUAGAAAACUAUAGAUUACAUUUGCCUUAUAUAUAUAAAAGCAUACUUGUUAUUUAUGCCAUCAUUUCACACUCAACCCAAUAAGUUGGAUUCAACUAAGAGUGAGCAAUUUCACAAUUAUUAAUUAAUAGGAACACUUAGGCUCCCAUAUCCUUAUCCUUUUUGCUGAAUUGUCUUUCCUUAUCUUCCAUUCCUAAAAAGCUUGAUUUCUAUAUUCUAAAUUGAUAGAGAUUGGUUAAAGAAAGGUGAUCACAAAAUUUGACUAUUGCUUUCAAAUGAGGAAUCACCAUCUUCAAAUUUUCACAUUUACACAAAAAAAAAAAAAAAAACUAGCCUCGGGUAAGGUCCAAGCCUUAUUGUUUUAAGCUGACGUCGGGUUGGUUUAAUAAUGAACAAAGUAAAUCCCAACCCAUGACCAUCUAGGCAUUUCCAAAUUCCACCCAUCCACAACCCAUUAAUAUGGCAUUUUCAAGGACAAAAUUUAAUCAAUUAAACCUAUUAGAUGGAUUCUCCAUACAAUGUUAAAAUGAAUAUAAACACUUUAAUUCAAAAAAUAAUUUCCUUCAUUUAGUUAGGAUUCAAAUUAUAGGGGCACAAAACAUGAAAAUUUUCAUGUUUAAAAUUCACAAAGAUCACAGAAGCUCUUUGAAGCUCUAUGGGCUUUUUUAUUUCUAACAUUUAAACACAAAAAUCACCAAAUUGAAUUAGAAACUUGGAUGCAUAUUCUUAUAUUAAAGACAUGUAAGCUUACAUAUUUAAAUAUGAAGAUCUCAACUUGUAAUUACAUGCUUCUAAUUAAAGUUAUAUUACUUUAUUUUACAGGAUUUAAAGGGUUAUCAAGUUUAAAGAAAUUGGAGAUCUUGGACAUAAGUGGUAAUGAGUUUGACAAAAGUGCCUUAAAAUCUUUGGGCACAAUAACAUCACUCAAGACAUUAGCUAUUUGCAGCAUGGGACUGAAUGGAUCUUUUUCCAUUCGAGGCAUGUUAUAUGUCCACAUUGUUUCUUUGAAAUUAAGUAAAAUAUAUUUCUAACUUUUAAUGUUCCUUAGUUAAUCUCUCUUUUGAUUCAUGUUUGUUGCAGAAUUAGCUAGUUUGAGAAAUUUGGAAGUGUUGGAUCUAAGCUAUAAUGAUUUGGAAAGCUUUCAACUAUUGCAAGGUACUUCAUUAACUUGCUAAAAAAACUUAUAAUAUUUUGUUAUUAAAUUAAAGGUAAGAUUAACAAACAAUUUCUUCCCAUUAGUUACUUUUCUUUGUAAUAUCAUUAAAUUUGAUAUAAAGUAGUCUAAAUCAUCCUUUCAAUUUAUAAGUUUUAAUUAAAACGCAUCAAGCAUGCACAAGAUGUUUAAUAUAACUAAUAUUUUCAUAAGUAAUUGAAUUUUUUUUUAUGAAUUAAUUAACUUGAUUAUCAAUAAAUACUUACAUGUAUAAGAUUAAUAUAGUUUCAUAAGUAUUUUAAAAUUGUCUUACAACACACACACACACACACACACAGGGAAAAUGAAAGGUAUGUGAUACCUUUAUGCUAUGUUUGGUUCCCAAAAAAAUUGAGGGAAAAUGAAAGGAGAAAAAAGUAGAGAGGAAAAAUAAAAGAAAAGAAAAAAAGUGAAGAAAAAUAUAAAAUUGAUUAAAGUAAAUACAUUAUUUUUAUAUGUUACUUUAAACUUGUUUCACUUAUUUUAAUUCUUCAAUGUAAAGAUGAAAGAUUUGAAAAUGCAGAAGUCUCUAAUUAUUUUUUAUUAUAUUUUAUUUUAUUUUAUAGUUUUUACAAUACAACCAAACAUAAUAAAAUCAUUUUCUUUAAUUUUUUUUUCUUUUCUUAAUACUUUUCAUGAACCCUUAAGUUAUGUUUGGUUUGCAGAAAAUAUGAGGAAUAGAAAAUAGAAAAGAAAAUUAGAAGGAAAGAAAAAAUGAAGUAAAAUAAAAAUAAAUUUAAAUUUAAUAAAUUAUUUUUAUAUGCUACUUUAAACUUAUUUCACUUAUUUUAAAUUAUUUAAACUCAUUUCUAAUAAAUAAUAAUGGAAAUUGUAGAGAAGUUUGUGUUAUUCAAGCUUUGCAAUGACUUUUCAAGGUGAAGGAAAAUAUUCUUGCUGAAAUUGAAAAAGGAAAUACCUUCUUAAAUAGCCUAUUGACCGAAAACACAUUGCCCUAACAUAUACACACACCUUUAUUAUUUAUACAAUCAUGUAAUACUUAAUCCAGUUAGUGGGAUUCUAGUGGUUGUUUCUAUCUUGGUUUCCAAUAUUUCUGAUUGAUAGUGUUCGAUUAAUGAAAUAUCAUAAAUUUUGACCCUAAUAAGGACCAAUCCCUAUUAAAUGUAAUUGGGUUGACCCAAGACUAAAUGUUAGACCCAACUAAUAAAAACCCAUCUGUUUGUUGGAGUCUAAAUAACCCGGCCUUAGGUAGGGCCCAUGCCUUAUUAUUUUAAGAUGUAGUCCAACUGGUUUGACACUAGAUUGAGUAAAGCCUAAGUUAUGAGCAUCUGUGCAUUUCCAUCCAUCCACAACCUAUUGGCAUGGGCAAACUUUGGUCAAUUAAACCUAUUAUAACUGUAUACAAAAUUUUAAGUUCAAAAGAUAAUUUUCCUUAUUUAGUUAAGAUUCAUAUUAAAAAGGCACAAAGCACGAAUUUUCAUGUUUAAAUUCACAAAUAUCAUGAAAGCUCCUUCAAGCUCUAUGGACCAUUUUAUUUGUAACAUUAUUUUACUCUUAAUUAUCAAAUUAACCAACAAAUUCUUCUCAUUACUUAUUUUUCUUUUGUAAUGUCAUAAAAUUUGAUGUAAAGUAGUAUUGGUCAUCAUUUCAACUUUUAGGUUCCAAUUAGAUGCAUCAAGCAUGUGCAACAUAUUUGAUAUAACUAAUAUUUUUAUAAGUAAUUGAAUUUUUUUUUCUAUAAAUCAAUUAACUUGAUUAUUAAUGAAUACUUUCAUACAUGAUAUUGAUGUAGUUUCAUAAAUAUUUUUAAAUAGUCAUAGAAGUCUUUUAUCUGAUUCACUAGAAAUAAAAAUAAAUUAAACUAUUCUAAUGAAAAUACUUAAUGAUUUGAAGUGAUUGCUUUUGAUUUUAUUUGAUUGCUACCAUUAUUAAUUGUUAGAAAUUGGCAACAAAUACCCAUUUUGCAUCACUUCUAUAUGCAUAGGGGGAAUGAAUUAUAUUUCAUAGAGCUAACAGGGCAAAACUCAUACUUUUGGAAUUAUGGAAAAGGUUGCUAGAAAGCUAAUUAACCAUUUAUAUUAUGAUUAAGACUAGUUGGGUUAGAAAUAAUUCAUAUGGAGAUUAAAAAAAACUAUGUAAUUUAGUUUAGUAGCUAGGGUGCUAUUGUAAUGAUUAAUGAUCUGCAACUUGAACACAUCUACUAGUGCUUUCUACUUGUAUAGCUAAAUUUAUGUUACCACUUUGAACUACAGUACUUACAUGAGAAGAAAGUUAUUCCUUAGUGAUAAUGCAAAAGAAAUUAACUAUCAGUUUUUGUUAAACUAACAAGUGAUAGUUUAGAUAUGGUUUGAAUACACUUCCUUUCUUCUAUUUUUUUAUUUUGAAAAAAAAAAACUCUUUAAUGAAAUAUAAGAAAUCUUAUAUGUAUAAAAAGUAAAGACUUAAACAAAAAAAUUCUUCAAAUUUGAAAAUUUUCGAGAAGUAUUUUUAAGAAUUUGUAUUUUUAGUAUAAUAAUUCCUAUAUUUUGUAUAAAAGUUUUUGUUUAAAAAAAUAGAAGUGUAUCCAAAUUACAAAUUAAUUGUUCAAUUAAGAAUGUUUCUCGGAUCAAGAGAUAAUGAAAGUUGUAGAGAGUUUGCAUUACUCAACCUUUGCAAUUACUUUUUGAAGAUAAAAGAAAAUACCUUCCUACAUAACAUAAAAUGGCAGGUUCUGGUUUGUAAGAAACAAAUAAAUGAUAUAGGAUAUGAAUAAGACUUCCUUUAUAAUAGAUAUGUAGAGAAGAAUAGUCGAUGAUAGGAGGUGAAAAUCUUGUAAUAAAAUAUCAAUAUCGGUUAUAAGAUAAUCAACAUUUUCUCUAUUUCUUGUACCUAUGUGAUUAAGAAUCUUGUAGCUCCCUUAUUGAAAUAUAAUAUAAAAAUAUAAAUAAACUAUUUAGAAGUGCAUGUAGUUUUCAACAUGAGGAAGUUCAAAAGCAAGUUAAUUAUGAUAAUUUUCUGUUGUCUAUAUUGAGCACAAAUUAUUUUUACUAAAGGUUCAAUUGUUCUAUGAAGGUUAAAAGUUUGAAUUGUUUACAUAUGCAAAUGUGAAAUUUGAAAUUUUAUAAUUUUUUAUAAUUUUCUUGUAGAUUCAAAAAGCUUGUCCAUAUUCAAAAAGCUCGAGACCUUGAACCUCAAUUACAACAAGUUCAAAAACACUAGCCUACAACAAUUGAAUAUAUUUACAUCCCUUAAAAAUCUUUCUCUAAGAGGGAACUAUGUUGGAGGAUUUUUUCCGAUCCAAGGUAUGUGUAAUUAUUAUUAUUACUUUUAAUGAUAAAAUAUUAGAAUUGUCAACAUCUUUUUUUUUUUCCCCCUCAAUGGUGUUGCAGAAUUAUGCACUCUGGAAAACUUUGUGAUGUUGGACCUAAGUGAGAAUUUCUUUAUUGGCAUGCAAGGUAAAUACAAAGUGAAGUUUUGGUUAUAUAUAUAUCAUGUAAGAACAUAACUAAAAUCAACAUUCUUUGCCUAUCAAUUUGUGCAUGACUAUUAUUUAGUUAUUCUUCGUAACAUAAUUGAAAGAAUGUCUAGGUGUACAACAUUUAAGAAUUUUACAUGGCACAAUGAAAAACAUGGUAAUCAAUGUAUGCAAUAAAAUUCUAAUAGUUGAAAAAGAAUUUUCUUGUAAUUUUAUGUUCGUGUAUAGUAAUCAAAGAGAAAAUAAUGAAAAUGUAUAUUAGUUAGACUUUAUAUAUCAAUAGACAAAAAAGAAAGAAAAAAAAAAAGAUUAGUUCCUUAACUUAUCCUAAAAUUUUCUAGAUAAUAAGGAGUUUUUUUAUUUUGGGCUAUAAGGUUUACAACCUGAAAAGUGAAGAUGAUUAAUAUUAGUAAUAUAAUUUUGAAAUAUAAAAAUUAAUGAAAUAAUGUUCUCUAUAACUAUAAGUGCAACUGCAACUAUUAAUAAAAGAUAAUAAAAGUACUUUAGACUUUGAAUCCAUGGUUAGGUUUGCAAUUUUUUGAUGAUCAAUAAAGCUACAACUUAUGCUGCAAAAGGCUAUACAAAAUGCAUUAGGAGCAUUGCUAAGCUCAUUUAUCAAUAAAAGAAAUCCAGUAAUACUUUGAUUGGAAAAAACCUAGAAUCAUGUUUGAUAUAUAUAAUAGGUGAAGAAACAAAAUAACAAUUCCAUGGUAUUAGUUAGUUUGAUAUCUCUUUUGUUAUAUGGAAUAACUAUUCCAUUUUAAAAUAAUUUUUUCAUCUUAUCACUAGAACAAAAAAUUUCAGGGGGUUAUAUGGGCUUUUGGGUUUCUUAAGAAUUUAAGCAUUUAUGGGUCACCCAUAUAUAUAUAGGAAGAAUAAAAAAAAUAUUCUAUGGAGACAAGGGUAGACACCCAUAAAUGUACAUAUAAUUAUUUAAAUAAAAAUAUCAAUAAGAAACAAUAUACAACAAAAUAGAAAAUUUUAAUCUUCUUAAAUUUUUUAAAAUAAAAACUAAAUGAAAAAAAAAUUAAGAAGUAAAAAAAAUAAUAAAAAGGUCAAGAAUACAAAUAGAGAAGUAAACAAAAUAAAAAAAAAUACAUAAAUUAAAAUUAAAUUUAAAAAAAAAAUACAUAGAUUAAUAUGAACACCAAAUGAGGUUUUUUGAGAUAGACUUAGUUAGACUUGAACUAGAUGGAUAUUAAAAAAAAAUUUAAAAAAAUCAAAGAAAUAAAAACUAAUUAGAUGCUAAAUAUUGGAUUAAAAUAACCAAAUGAAUAAAGAGUAAUUAUUAAUUUUUAACAUUUUUUAUUCCCUGGAAUUAUUAUUUUGUGUAUUAAAUGUAUUCUGAGUGUAGUGGUAUAAAAAAUGUAGUUAAGAAUACUAUGAAGAAUAAUAAUAGUGAUGAUAAUGGUGACGACACUUAAUACCUUUUAUUGUACAUUUAGAAAAAAUGAGGUUCUUGAUCUUUAUGGAGAUUAUCAUUACUCAUCCGCAAGCAUGUUGAUAGUUGAAACUACUUAAUUAUCAAAAAUUGAAUUUCUAACCUUCAAUUUUUCUCUCUCAAAUGUAUAUGUGGGUGAGAAAGCACUAGGAAGAUUAUAAGGUCUCACAUGUAUAUGAGUCAUAGGAUAAAAAAUAUAGAGACAUACUAGCAUUUAUUUGAUCUAGUGGCAAAUAGAGAAAUAUAACAUAACCAUAACCAUAAUGUUCUAACCUUAUAUAUACCAGAACCAUGUUUCCUUCAUUCAAUUUUGCACUUUUUCUUUUNNNNNNNNNNNNNNNNNNNNNNNNNNNNNNNNNNNNNNNNNNNNNNNNNNNNNNNNNNNNNNNNNNNNNNNNNNNNNNNNNNNNNNNNNNNNNNNNNNNNNNNNNNNNNNNNNNNNNNNNNNNNNNNNNNNNNNNNNNNNNNNNNNNNNNNNNNNNNNNNNNNNNNNNNNNNNNNNNNNNNNNNNNNNNNNNNNNNNNNNNNNNNNNNNNNNNNNNNNNNNNNNNNNNNNNNNNNNNNNNNNNNNNNNNNNNNNNNNNNNNNNNNNNNNNNNNNNNNNNNNNNNNNNNNNNNNNNNNNNNNNNNNNNNNNNNNNNNNNNNNNNNNNNNNNNNNNNNNNNNNNNNNNNNNNNNNNNNNNNNNNNNNNNNNNNNNNNNNNNNNNNNNNNNNNNNNNNNNNNNNNNNNNNNNNNNNNNNNNNNNNNNNNNNNNNNNNNNNNNNNNNNNNNNNNNNNNNNNNNNNNNNNNNNNNNNNNNNNNNNNNNNNNNNNNNNNNNNNNNNNNNNNNNNNNNNNNNNNNNNNNNNNNNNNNNNNNNNNNNNNNNNNNNNNNNNNNNNNNNNNNNNNNNNNNNNNNNNNNNNNNNNNNNNNNNNNNNNNNNNNNNNNNNNNNNNNNNNNNNNNNNNNNNNNNNNNNNNNNNNNNNNNNNNNNNNNNNNNNNNNNNNNNNNNNNNNNNNNNNNNNNNNNNNNNNNNNNNNNNNNNNNNNNNNNNNNNNNNNNNNNNNNNNNNNNNNNNNNNNNNNNNNNNNNNNNNNNNNNNNNNNNNNNNNNNNNNNNNNNNNNNNNNNNNNNNNNNNNNNNNNNNNNNNNNNNNNNNNNNNNNNNNNNNNNNNNNNNNNNNNNNNNNNNNNNNNNNNNNNNNNNNNNNNNNNNNNNNNNNNNNNNNNNNNNNNNNNNNNNNNNNNNNNNNNNNNNNNNNNNNNNNNNNNNNNNNNNNNNNNNNNNNNNNNNNNNNNNNNNNNNNNNNNNNNNNNNNNNNNNNNNNNNNNNNNNNNNNNNNNNNNNNNNNNNNNNNNNNNNNNNNNNNNNNNNNNNNNNNNNNNNNNNNNNNNNNNNNNNNNNNNNNNNNNNNNNNNNNNNNNNNNNNNNNNNNNNNNNNNNNNNNNNNNNNNNNNNNNNNNNAUGCUCCUUUUUUUAGAGUCAAUUGAUGCUUAUAAACAACUUUGUUUGAAAAUAAAAUACAUCGAGUGAUUGCAUCAAGAGAUUGAUGUAAUAAUUGCAUACUUGAUCUUGAUAAUGCUAAUAUGAGUUGACUAAAUAAAUGAGUAUUUACUUAUAAGGUAACCCAUAGAACAUUAUUUGUGGAAAUAUUCAUGCACCUCUACAUAUGUUCGUGAUAACUUAGGUUGAUAAAUUUAAGAAGAACAAAUUCAUAACCUUGGGCAUAGUUAGUAAGAUAUUUCACCAAUAGAGUUUGGUAUCAUGAUUCUAAUUGUUCAAAUUGUUUUAAAGGAGUAUUUUAAAUUGCAUGUUAAUUUGCUUCUAAUAAAUGGAGAGAAACCAAUUCAAGAAGAGAAUUGUACUCAAGCUAUGUAUAGCAUUCAUGAAGAUGUAGAAAAUAUUGAUGAACUUACUUUUGAGCAAGUUGAAAUCAUAAUUAAAUAAAAGAACAAACCCAAGGGUUAAGAUUGUCAAGUAAAACUUUAACUAAAAUUUAUUGAUUUUUUAAAUGCCUAUUAGAGGGACAAUAGAAGUUCUAGAUAGAAAGUAAGAACUUUUCUAAGGAAUCACUUGUUAGAUUUUAAGUGAUCAAUAAAUAUAAUGUCCAAUUUAAAACUUUUAUAAAAGCAAUGCUUCUAAAGAAUAACUUGAUUUGAAUUUAAAGUUAUUAUUGAUAUUUGUUUAUAAUGGAUGUAGUUAAUCAACUGAACAUAGUAAAAAACACAUAAAUUUUUCAAAAUACCUUCUAGUUGUUGGGUAUAUUUAAGUAGUCAUCCAUAUCUCAUUAUCUUUUCACUCACAUACUAAUCUCCUUAUUGAGUAUUUACCAAUUACAAGUAGGUUGAAAGUUACUCGAAUUUAAGUCACUAAUCAAUGUUAACUUGAUAACAAAUAAGUCUCUCUUUGAAACUUGUUUUACAAGAUAGCGAAAUGUAGUCGAUCAAUCAUCAAAACAAUGUUUAAGCAUUAGGAUUUAGUUGUUAAUUUUUAUUUUUUAUUUUUUGUGCUUAAACAAAGACAAAAAUGAUAAAAACUCCUUAAAAGUACAUAGUAAUUGAAUUUAAUUUAUACAUCAAACAAGAACAAACUAGUCUUGGAUUUAAAAUUCAUCAGGUUUUGUAAUUAUAAUUCCUAAAAAUUUGUAAGGCAACAAAAUUAUUGGACACUAGGUUAUUGGGUGUGUAUGACUAAGAGGUGAAGGAGGGUUCAUCUUAUACAAAGGAUGAUUUGAUUAAUUUUAAAGAUUGGAUAAACAAUAAUUGCAUAUUCAAGUAAAAAUAACAUUGCUAAAAAGGAAAAUAAGUAUUUUAGUCCUCAAACCUAAAAUGGCUAAAAAAAUUUAAUUAAUACAAUACAACUUCACCUACAAAAGAAAAAAAAACCCAAAACUUUUCAAUAGCACAACUAAGUCCAUUUAUCAAAAGCUCUAUGAACAACAACAACUAUCAAAUCACAUAAAUCAUGUUGUUUUCAAAGUGCCCUCGAUGUUUUAAAACUUAAGAUAUUACAUAAAAAUCAACCAAUAGUGUAUGACAUUAUAAAAAACAUAUCCAAAUCCAUUGUCGAACUUAAACUAAAUUCAACUUUAUAUGCAUAGUCGCAAGUGCGUCUUUUUGUCCUUCAAUUUGGGUCAAAUUCAGAUGUUAGUUUUUUACACGACAAGGGAUUAUCAAGGUGAUAAUUCAUGCAUAUAAAUAGUAUUACUAAUAUAAAAAAAGAUGGUAAAUGCAAUUUUUUUGUAUUCACUCACCAUUUGGCAUAUCAAUAAGAAAAAAAUAUAUAAUAGGUGUAAUCAAUAAUAUUACUCAUCACUAGAAAGUAUAAUUUUUCAUUUUUUGUCACUAUUUGUGCACUUUGGAAAGCUUGCUAGGUACAACAAAUUAGCUCAAUGAAGAAAUUGAUCAAUUCCUUCAUUUCUAAAUAAAUUUGCAUAUACACUAGAAUAAAAACAACUUUUUAACUUAACAAGUUGACUGAGUCUCAGAACUUAGUAGGUUGAAGACAUAAACUUCCAUCCAAACUCAUUUACUAGCACCACAUGUUGGAAAAAUAAAUAAAAAUCAAAACACUUGAGUAUAGUUGCAAACCAAUCUAAAUAUAGAGUGAGAUCUACCUUUCUUUGAAAGUUUAGAACAAAUUUUUAUUUUUAUGGUAAGACUAUGCAGUACUUAUCCCUCUCUUACAAGUCUAUAAUCAGUCCAAAGCAUGGGAUCGUGCAUAAAUUCUUGAACUCAAUUAGCCUUCAAUCGAUGCCUUUCAAGUAAAUGUAAAACCUGGUGUACUUGUUAUUGAUUCACAUCCUUAUCACUAUUAUCAUUACUUGUUCUUGAAUAUAGAACCUUAUUGUCUAUUAACAAGCAGACCUAUGUUCCUCCAUGAUUCAAGAGUAUUAUGUUUUGUUCAUCAUUAGUUGGUCUUGCUCUAAAGCUUCUUUUUUAUGACUAUCAAUAACCAAACUUAGAUACCAAAAUUUAUGCGAGAGAGCAUGUACUUUAUACAGUCAAGAACUUGUGAGUUUAGAUUUUGUUAUCUAGGUAAAAGAAUAAAUUGGUUUGUUAAAAUAGCUAGCAUUAGGUAUCUAUUCAAUUCCUAUCUUAGACAAUAAAGAUAGAAGUGAUCAAAUACAUUCUUAUUAAGAAACAUUUGAUACCAAAAGUGAUGUAAGACAACAUAGUUCCUCUAUUCAAUCAAGUUUAAGGCUUAGAUGAACCUAUGAAUUUAUAUUAAUUAAUUGGGAAAGAGAAUAAAUAGGCUAAGUAGAAGUGAUAGGAUUGUAAUAGCAUUAAGUUAAUGAUCUUGUUUAGGUCUUCUACUAAAUUAGAGAAGAAACAAACAAAAGUAAUCAAACGUGUUAGUGAUAAUUAUAUCUACUUAACAUUGAGACAAUAGUUGUAUUAAUGGUAAUUAUAUUAUUUCUUGAGAGUUUAAACAAUAUAUAUUGAAAAUAUUUUUAAAGGUUUAGCAACUACCAUGGUUAUAAUCAACUACGAGCUUUUUAUUUUUAAAAAUAUGAAAUAUUAAUAUCUUUACUUUCUUUGAUCUUCUUGUAGGUUUUAAAAGUUUGCCUAAGCUGAAAAAGCUGGAAAUCUUAAACCUUGGUUAUAAUCGGUUCAACAAGACCAUUAUAAAACAGUUGAGUGGACUCACAUCCCUUAAAACACUAGUUGUAAGCAACAACUAUAUUGAGGGACUUUUUCCUUCCCAAGGUAUUGUUUAUUUUUUUAAUAUCCUUAGUAACCACUCUACCAUAAUUUAUUUUUUCAAUUUUAUUUUCUUUCUUGAACCAUCUUACAGAAUUAUCUAUUUUUGGAAACUUGAUGACACUGGAUUUAAGCGAGAAUAGAUUCAAUGGCUCCCUAUCAAUCCAAGGUAAAUUCUAAUUAGAAUUAUCAUUAUAUUUAGGACAUAUAAUAAAUCAAUUAAAUUGUUUUAUCUAUUAUCAUUACUUGGUUAUUUGGAUUUUCUUGAUAUUGUUUAUCAUUUUACAUAGGAAAAUGAAAUUAAAAAAUCAACCCAUGCUUAGUGUUUAAGCAUUGGGCUAGAAGUAUAUUUUUCUUCCCAAUUUAAUCAAAGAGAAAAGUCAUAAAUAACAUAAUUUAACUUAUACCUUAUAUUGAUUGAAGAGGUUAGACUACUUUUGGAUUUAAUGGUCAAUAUUUGUUGAAGGUAGGGUUUCCUAAAUUUGAUCAAAAGAACUUCAAUUUAAAUUACCAUAACUACAUAAAGUUGUGACUAGCAUAAUUAAACUCUUUUAUUAAUAGAUGUUCAUAGACUAGUAUUACAAUCCCACACACACAAAUAAUUAAAAUUUGAAAUUAGACUUCAAAUAACUAUGCAAUAUACGAAACUACAAAAUGAAUGGUAGGUCAUAAUUAAUUAAAUUCGUACUAUAUUCAAUGUUGGUCAACACGUGUCAAGUAAAAGUUUUGGCCUAAGUGUAAGGGCUCACUUGCUCCUAUAUAGAUGUUAUUCACUUUGGGUCAAGGCCUACUUUAAAAUAUCUCUAUACAGUUAUGAGAAGUCUACUAAAUAUAAAGUCGUAGAAACUUUUCUUCUUAGGUGAUUUGGAAUUUCACAUUAGGACCAACAUUUUAUAUAUUUUGAAAACAUAAUUUAAUUAACAUUUUAGAACUAAUUAUUAGUUAUCCAUUUAUAAUCCUAGAGGAAAUUCCUUUUACCUAUGCAAAUUAUAUACCUCUAGUAAUUACCUUUAAUUUCUCAUUUACAACUUCCUAAAAUAAUAUGAAAAAUGACAAAGUGUACAAUAUCUACCAAUAUGGGUGGAAUAUGCAAUGAGACCCACAAUGCUCAAUAUAGUACUAGUAUCUAUGUCAUCUAAUAGCAAUGAAAGUACUAAGUAAUAAAAACAAUUGUUUUGGGCACUUUAUGCAAUUGGCCUUGUAAAAAAAGAAAUCUAAGGUAGUUGGACUCAUUUACUAGUAAUUUAACAUAUGACUAGAACCUAUUGAAUCAUUUGCAAUAGCACUUGCUUUGGUCAUGUCCAAAUUUAUUACACAUGGUGCAAAAAGGGGUGGUGCUAGAGGAUGCUUUGUUUUCCCACUUAUGGAAGUCUCAAUCUUGCUAAUAUAUUUUAUGCCAUGUUUAUCAUAUACAAAUUUAGCCUAAGUGUAAGGGCUCGCUUGCUCCUAUAUAGAUGUUAUUCAUUUUGGGUCGAGGCCUACUUUAAAAUAUCUCUAUACGUUUAUGAGAAGUAUACUAAAUAUAAAGUCGUAGAAACUUUUCUCCUUAGGUGAUGUGGAAUUUCACAUUAGGACCAACAUUUUAUAUAUUUUGAAAACAUAAUUUAAUUAACAUUCUAGAACUAAUUAUUAGUUAUCCAUUUAUAAUCCUUGAGGAAAUUCCUUUUACCUAUGAAAAUUAUAUACCUCUAGAAAUUACUUUUAAUUUCUCAUUUACAACUUCCUAAAAUAAUAUGAAAAAUGACAAAGUGUAUAAUAUGAGCCAAUAUGGGUGGUAUAUGCAGUGAGACCCACAAUGCUCAAUAUAAUACUAGAAUCUAUGUCAUCUAAUAGCAAUGAAAGUACUAAGGAACAAUUUAACGUAUGUUUUGGGUACUUCAUGCAAUGGCCUUGUAAAAAAAGAAAUAUAAGGAAGUUGGACUCAUUUACUAGCAAUUUAACAUAUGACUAAAACCUAUUGAAGAAUUUGCAAUAGCACUUACUUUGGUCAUGUCUAAACUUAUUGCACAUGGUGCAAAAAGGGGUAGUGCUCGAGGAUGCUUCCACAUAAGAAAGACCCUACUUAACUGUUACAAAGGUUAUUUUCCCACUUGUGGGAAUGCUAACCUUACUAAUAUAUUAUAUGCCAUGUUUAUCAUAUACAAAUUUUUCUUUACUAAAUAUUUCUUUAAUGAUCUUGGACCUAAAAUUAAAUAUUUCAUUAGUAUUGGUCAUGUCGUUCCUCAACUUUUCAACUUUUAGAGUUAAAUCUUUAUCUUUAUCAUUGAUAGUUUUAUGUUUAGUCCCUAGAAACUUCACCUUAUUAACAAUAUGUUCAUUUAAUAUGUUGAUAUUUUUAAUUUUCAAAGAAUCAUAGAGCUCAUUAAUUUUAAUGUCUUUUUAUUCACUUUUAUGCUUUCAACCUUUGUUUUUAGUUUUCCUAUAAUAAUGCAUCAUAGACCCCAUGUACAUCAUUAAAAUAAAACUCAUUUUUUUCAUUAGGAUUCAAUUAACCCAAUGGAUCAUAAUCAAAAUUAGCUGCAUAUGAACAAAAGCAAUAAGAUUAUCAUUUUGUACAUCUUUACUUUCAUUUGAGUUCUUAGCCCUACAAUCAUCAAACAUGGAAUUACUCCAAGUCACCUACAUAGCCUUCAUACCUAAUGUUUUUAAGGCAAGGAUAAUCAACAACCAUGUGUCCCAUUCCCCCAAUGGUUCACUACAAAAUCAAGGUACAUAUGUUAUGCUUUCUUUGUUUCAUAGAGAUUAGAGAGGAUAAACAUUGUAUAAAAAAAAAAAUUGUCAUAGUUAAUGUAAGCUAAAACUAAAAAACUUGUUUUUUCAAUUGUGUAAGCAUGUUUUGUUCUUGAUUAAUAUUUACAACAUUCAGAUUUACUAAUGUUUAUAAUUCACAGAGACCUCAUUAACAAGAAGUAACAACUAAUUGCAAGUAACCAUGAAAAAAAAUAAGGAGAAAAAUAAAGGAAAAUCAAGGAAAAUGGAAAAAAUUUUCAUCCCCAUAAAAAAUGCUAAGGAAGAAAAAGGUGAAGAAAGUUUAAAGAAAGCAUAUUUUUCAAAAAUUGAAUUUUCUUUCCCUUAAAAUUGGUAUGGACAACCAAACAAGAAAAUGAUUUUUAAAUUCUUUUUUGACCUUUUUCUAUCAUUCUUUUUUUUUCCCCCUACUCUAUUUCCUUUCCCUCAAACUUUCUAGGUAGUAAACAUUACCUAAGAUAAAUAGGGAAGAAAAUAUUUUAUCAUUUAUUAAUUUAGUAUUUUUCUUACCUUUUUUGUAUUUUAUCCAAAUAUGAGAAAACUAUUUUUCUUUAUUUUUUCUUUUCCUUGUUGCUUUUCAAGAAUCAAGCAUACUUUAAACUCUAAUUAAGAGUUACAUAGAUUUACGAAGAAACAAUGCAACUAGUAACAAAAAAUUAAGGAAAUUUAAUUUUUGAGAGUAGGUAUAAUGAGAUUGGUUUGUUUGAUACAAAAUUUGAAUAAAAAUUCUUUCAAUGAAAAUUCAAGGAAAGGAAAAAAAAAAACAACUUUAUCUCUAGACUAUAAUACUAAAUCACUUAAAAAAUAUCUUAACAUCGUUUAUGUUCAUCUUUCUUUUUAUGGAUUUGAAAAACCCAAUAAUUUGGAGAAAAUUGAUUCAAGGAAGAAUAAUUUUUAGAAUAAAAUAUUAUUAUUUAAGAAGAUCAUAAAUAUUAUAGUCAUUGUUGAAUAUGAUAAAUGAUUUAAAAAAAAUGGUAGUUGGAAAUUUAGAUACUUUUAUAAGACAAAUGAAUUUUUCUAGUAUUGUAUGAAAAAAGGUAAAAUGAUAGGCUUUCAUCAUUUUUUAAAGUAGUUUGUUUAAAUCAUUUUAAUUUAUUUUGAUUUAAGAACAAUAACUUUUAUUACACUAGUUAUUUUGAUUUUCUUUUGAUAGAUUUUGCAAGCUUAAGCAAUUUGGAGCUAUUGGAUUUGAGUUAUAAUUCAUUUAGUGGGAGCGUUCCAUCAUCUAUAAGAUUGAUGUCUUCUCUCAAGUCUUUAUCCCUGGCUCGAAAUCACCUCAAUGGUUCCUUACCAAAUCAAGGUACAUAUAUUGUGAUUACAGGUUUUUCUGUUUUCUUUUUUAAUAUCUUGUUUGUUCUUUAUGCCAAUGAAGUCAUGCAUGUCUAUUAAUUUUUGGUAUUAAAUAAAAAACUUUAUUCUUAAUUCAUAAAGACCUCAUCAACUGUAAGUAACAGCUAGUUGUAAGUUUGGGGGCAUUGACAAGACGAGGAGAUGAUUGGUUACAUGUCUUAUUCUCUUUUGUUGGCUUUUGCCAAUUGAAUAAGCUUCAAGAGUUAGAUCUUUCUUACAACUUAUUCCAAGGGAUCCUUCCUCCAUGUUUGAAUAAUUUGACAUCUUUGAGGUUAUUGGAUCUCUCUUCCAACCUAUUCUCCGGAAAUCUUUCUUCCCCUCUGUUACCUAAUCUCACAUCCCUGGAGUACAUCGAUCUCAGUUACAAUCAUUUUGAGGGUUCAUUCUCUUUCAGCUCUUUUGCUAAUCACUCCAACUUUCAAGUGGUCAAACUUGGAAGGAAUAACAACAAAUUUGAGGUAGAAACUGAAUAUCCAGUUGGUUGGGUUCCCCUAUUUCAGUUGAAAGCUCUUAUGCUAUCCAACUGUAAGCUCAUCGGUGACCUUCCUGGUUUUCUUUGACACCAAUUAAGAUUAACCGUGGUUGAUCUCUCCCAUAAUAACUUGACUGGAAGUUUCCCCAUUUGGCUGCUUGAAAACAAUACAAAAGUAGGAUCUCUAGUUCUGAGGAAUAACUCUUUAAUGGGUCAACUACUUCCCCUGAGACCUAAUAGUCGUAUCACUUUAUUGGAUAUCUCAGACAACCGACUUGAUGGGGAACUUCAACAAAAUGUGGCCAAUAUGAUUCCAAAUAUUGAGUUUCUAAAUUUAUCCAACAAUCCUCCCCUUCAUUUCAUCCAUAUUUGGAUCUACCUUUAAAUCUCUAUUGCAUACAACCCAUAUAUGAUUCCCUCUAAAUUUAGCCUUCAUUUCUUGUUAAGAGGUUUUAAAAGCCAGCAAUUUAAUUUACUUUCAUCCUCUAGAUAGAUGAGAACUCUUAUAUUUAUCCAAUGAUAGGUAACAUUUUUGCAAAUGCUUUUAUUUGAUUUUUUUAAUUGGUCUUAAAAAUAAGUGUUAAUAAAGAUCCACAAUAUAAAAUAAUAAAUUAUAUCUCAAUUGACCUCAAGAUACUAUUUACUUCUACUAACUCAUUUUACAUCUCAAUUGUUCUUAAAAAGUCUAUAAUGGUAAUUAACUAUAGAAUUCAAGUUUUAAUUAUGCAAAAAAUAUAUAAAGGUUUUUAAAAUUAAUAGAAAAAGAGAUUCUGAUAAAUAAUAAGUCAUUGGAACAUUUACUUCUAGAAGUAGAGAAAGAUGGAGGAUCAUAAAAGUUGAAAAAAGAAUAAUUUGGAAGUCAUAAAAUUUUGGAAAAAGAAUAAUACAUAGAGACCUCAUUAACAAGAAGUAACAACUAAUUGUAAGUAACCAUGAAAAAAGUAAGGAGAAAAAUAAAGGAAAAUCAAGGAAAGUGGAAAAUUUUUUCAUCCCCAUAAAAAAUGCUAAGGAAGAAAAAGGUGAAGAAAGUUUAAAGAAAGUAUAUUUUUCAAAAAUUGAAUUUUCUUUCCCUUAAAGUUGGUAUUGACAACCAAACAAGAAAAUGAUUUUUAAAUUCUUUUUUGACCUUUUUCUAUCAUUCUUUUUUUUUUUUUCCUUACUCUAUUUCCUUUCCCUCAAACUUUGUAGGCAGUAAACAUUACCUAAGAUAAAUAGGGAAGAAAAUAUUUUAUCAUUUAUUUAUUUAGUAUUUUUCUUACCUUUUUUUGUAUUUUAUCCAAAUAUAAGAAAACUAUUUUUCUUUAUUUUUUUCUUUUCCUUGUUGCUUUUCAAGAAUCAAGCAUACUUUAAACUCUAAUUAAGAGUUUUAUCUCUAGACUAUAAUACUAAAUCACUUAAAAAAAACUCCUAACAUCGUUUAUGUUCAUCUUUCUUUUUAAGGAUUUGAAAAACCCAAUAAUUUGGAGAAAACUGAUUCUAGGAAGAAUAAUUUUUAGAAUAAAAGAUUAUUAUUUAAGAAGAUCAUAAAUAUUAUAGUCAUUGUUGAAUAUGAUAAAUGAUUAAAAAAAAAAAGGUAAUUGGAAAUUUAGAUACUUUUAUAAGACAAAUGCAUUUUUCUAGUAUGGUAUGAAAAAAGGUAAAAUGAUAGGCUUUGAUCUUUUUUUAAGGUAGUUUGUUUAAAUCAUUUUAAUUUAUUUUGAUUUAAGAACAAUAACUUUUAUUACACUAGUUAUUUUGAUUUUCUUUUGAUAGAUUUUGCAAGCUUAAGCAAUUUGGAGCUAUUGGAUUUGAGUCAUAAUUCAUUUAGUGGGAUCCUUCCAUCGUCUAUAAGAUUGUUGUCUUCUCUCAAGUCUUUAUAUCUGGCUGGAAAUCACCUCAAUGGUUCCUUACCAAAUCAAGGUACAUAUAUUGUGAUUACAGGUUUUUUUGUUUUCUUUUUUAAUAUCUUGUUUGUUCUUUAUGCCAAUUAAGUCAUACAUGUCUAUUAAUUUUUGGUAUGCAAUGAAAAACUUUAUUUUUAAUUCAUAAAGACCUCAUCAACCGUAAGUAACAACUAGUUGUAUGUUUGGGGGCAUUGACAAGACGAGGAGAUGAUUGGUUACAUGUUUUAUCCUCUUUUGUAGGCUUCUGCCAAUUCAAUAAGUUUCAAGAGUUAGAUCUUUCUUACAACUUAUUCCAAGGGAUCCUUCCUCCAUGUUUGAAUAAUUUGACAUCUCUGAGGUUAUUGGAUCUCUCUUCCAACCUAUUCUCCGGAAAUCUUUCUUCCCCUUUGUUACCUAAUCUCACAUCCCUGGAGUACAUCGAUCUCAGUUACAAUCAGUUUGAGGGUUCAUUCUCUUUCAGCUCUUUUGCUAAUCACUCCAAGCUUCAAGUGGUCAUACUUGGAAGGGAUAACAACAAAUUUGAGGUACAAACCGAAUAUCCAGUUGGUUGGGUUCCCCUGUUUCUGUUGAAAGCUCUUGUCCUAUCCAACUGUAAGCUCAUCGGUGAUCCUGGUUUCCUUCGACACCAAUUAAGAUUAACCGUGGUUGAUCUCUCCCAUAAUAAUUAGUCUGGAAGUUUCCCCAUUUGGCUGCUUGAUAACAAUACAAGACUAGGAUCUCUAGUUCUGAGGAAUAACUCUUUAAUGGGUCAACUACUUCCCCUGAGACCUAAUAGUCGUAUCACUUUAUUGGAUAUCUCAGACAACCGAGUUCAUGGGGAACUUCAACAAAAUGUGGCCAACAUGAUUCCAAAUAUUGAGUUUCUAAAUUUAUCCAACAAUGGUUUUGAAGGUAUUCUCCCAUCCUCGAUAGCCGAAAUGAGUUCCUUACAGUCAUUAGAUUUGUCUGCUAAUAGUUUCUCAGCGGAAGUACCAAAACAAUCGCUUGCUGCAAAAUAUUUGUGGCUUCUGAAAUUAUCAAAUUAUAAAUUUCAUGGUGAAAUAUUUUCAAGGGACUUUAACUUGACUCAGUUAGGGUUUUUGCAUUUGGACAAUAAUCAGUUCCAGGGACCACUGUCAAAUGUAAUCUCCAGAAUCUCUAGGUUAUGGGUGUUGGAUAGGUAACAUGACCGAUUUGACUACACUGGUGUUGGGCAACAAUAGUUUUAAAGGCAAAUUACCACCUGAGAUUUCUCAAUUGUUGGGGAUGAUAUUUCUUGACGUUUCUCAAAACGCUCUUUCAGGAUCUCUUCCUUCUUUGAAGAGCCUGGAGUAUUUAGAGCAUCUACAUUUGCAAGGGAAAAUGUUUACAGGAUUGAUACCUAGAGAUUUUCUCAAUUCCUCAUAUCUAUUGACUUUGGAUAUCAGAGACAACAGGUUAUUUGGAAGUAUUCCCAAUUCAAUCUCUAGACUUUUAGAGCUAAGAGGAAACCUUUUAAGUGGUUUCAUUCCAUAUCAGCUUUGUCAUUUGACUAAAAUAAGCUUGAUGGAUCUUUCAAACAACAAUUUUUCUGGGUCAAUUCCCAGAUGCUUUGGUCAUGUCGGAUUUGGAGAUUUCAAAACUGAGCACAAUGUGUAUAUACUUAUGUUAGAUUCGUAUUCAGAAAGCAAUCCUUCUAUAUAUACGGGUUACUUAAUAAAAUAUUUAUUUUUCUCUACUGAACUCCCUGAUGAAGUAGAUGAAGUUGAGUUUGUUACCAAGAAUAGGUAUAGCUCCUACAGAGUAGAUAAAAAUAUUUGUUGGGAAUUUAGAUAUUUUUAUAGGACAAUAUACAAGUAUUCUAAUUUAUAAAAACAAUGCAUUUCUUUAGUUUGGUAUAAAAAAAAUGAAACGAUAGGUAUUGGUAAUUUUUUUUAAAGUAACAAACGUUUUAUUUUAUUUGUAUUUAAGAACAAUGUUUUUUCUUAUACUAGUUAUUUUCAUUUUCUUUUGACAGAUUUUGCAAGCUUAAGCAAUUUGGAGAUACUAGAUUUGAGUUAUAAUUCCUUAAGUGGGAUUAUUCCAUUAUCUAUAAGAUUGAUGCCUCAUCUCAAGUCUUUAUCCUUGGUCGGAAAUCACCUCAAUGGUUCUUUACAAAAUCAAGGUACAUAUGUUAUGAUUUGUUUGUUUCAUAUAGAUUAGAGAAGAUAAAUAUUGUAAAAAAAAAAAAAAGUUGUAGUUAAUGUAAGCUUGAAAUAAGUAUCUUGCCUUAUAAAUUAUAUAAGCAUGUGUUUGUUCUUAAUGAAUCUUUACAACAUUUAGAGUUACCAAUGUUUAUAAUUCAUAAAGACCUCAUUAACGGUGAAUAACAACUAAUUGUAAGUAAUUGUGGAAAUAGUAAGGAAAACAAAAUGAGGGAAAAGCAAGGAAUUAGGAAAUUAUUUUGUUCCCAUAAAAAAAAUGCUAAGGAAGAAAAAGGUAAAAGAAAGUUUUAAAAAAGUGUAUUUUUAAAAAAUUUAUUUCUCUUUCCUUUAAUUUUGCUAUGGACAACCAAACAAGAAAAUCAUUUUAUAAUUCCUUUUUAUUUUUUUCGUUCUCUCUCUCUUUUUUUCCCUACUCUAUUUCUUUUCCCUCAAACUUUCUUGGUAGUAAACACAACCUAAGAUAAAUGGGGAAGAAAAUUUUCAGUUUUUUUUUUAUUUUUUUAGAAUGUUUUCUUACUUUUUAGUAUUUUAUGCAAAUAUAGGAAAAUUAUUUUCUUUUUUCUUUUUUUUUCUUGCUCCUUUUCAAACAUGAAUCACACUUUAAAAGAAAAUUAAUUUUUAAUUAGGAGUUAAGAUAAAUUUAAGGAGAAACAAUGAAUCACAGACAACAAAAAAUUAAGGAAAUUGAAUUUUUGAAAGUAAGUAUAAUCAAAUUGCUUCUUUUGAUACAAAAUUUGAAUAAAAAUUCUUUCAAUGAAAAUUCAAGGAAAGGAAAAAACAUUUUUGUCUCUAGAUUAUAAUACUAAAUUAUGUAAAAAAUCUCCUAGCAUCAUUUAUAUUCAUAUUUCUUUUUAUAGAUUUGAAAAAUUCAACAAUUUGGAAUAAACUUAUUCAAUGAAGAAUAAUUUUUAGAUUUAAAGAUUAUUAUUUAAGAUCAUAAAUAUUACCAUCAUUGUUGAUGUCUAAGAAGAUCAUAUUCAACAAUUUUUUUAAUAUGUUGUUUUUUUAUGGUAAUUAAUUGAUGUCUUGUAAUUUUUAAUAUUUAAUGAAAAACAUUAUUUUAAUUCAUCUAGAGCUCUUAAUUCAUGAAGACCUCAUUAAUGGUAAGUAAUAGCUGAAUGUAAGUUUGGAGUCAAAGACAUGUCAAGGAGAUGAUUAGUUACAUGUCUUAUUCUCUUUUGUAGGUUUCUGCCAAUUGAAUAAGCUUCAAGAGUUAGAUCUUUCUUACAACUUAUUCCAAGGGAUCCUUCCUCCAUGUUUGAAUAAUUUGACAUCUCUGAGGUUAUUGGAUCUCUCUGCCAACCUAUUCUCCGGAAAUCUUUCUUCCCCUUUAUUACCUAAUCUCACAUCCCUGGAGUACAUCGAUCUCAGUUACAAUCAGUUUGAGGGUUCAUUCUCUUUCAGCUCUUUUGCUAAUCACUCCAAGCUUCAAGUGGUCAUACUUGGAACGGAUAACGACAAUUCUGAGGUAGUUGGAAGGGAUAACAACAAAUUUGAGGUAGAAACUGAAUAUCCAGUUGGUUGGGUUCCCCUGUUUCAGCUGAAGGCUCUCUCUCUAUCCAGCUGUAAGCUCACCGGUGACCUUCCUGGUUUUCUUCAAUACCAAUUCAUGUUAGUGGGGGUUGAUCUCUCACAUAAUAACUUGACAGGAAGUUUCCCCAAUUGGUUGCUUGAAAACAAUAUGAGACUAAAAUCUCUAGUCCUAAGGAAUAACUCUUUAAUGGGUCAACUACUUCCCUUGGGACCUAAUACCCGUAUCAAUUCAUUGGAUAUCUCACACAAUCAGUUGGAUGGACAACUUCAAGAAAAUGUGGGCCAUAUGAUUCCAAAUAUGGAAUAUCUAAAUUUAUCCAACAAUGGUUU